UCUAUUUUAUUCAAUAUUUUCAAUAUUCAUCACAUGUUUCUUUCAAAAAAAAAAAAAUCGUUCACAUGUUGAUUUUUCGUACAUGUAGCUUACUGCAGCAUGUAAGAAAACAAAGAAACAAUGGAAGCCCCAACCAAUGAUCCAAGAACAGGCAAGGUAGCGGCAGCCAUGCUGGAAUCCGGUCCUGAUGCUGGAGCGGAACCAGGAGAGGAGCUAGGACUAGAACCACCGGCUGAAGGGGCAGGAGAUGGUGCACCGGCAGCCAUGACGGCGCUCAUUGAGGCGGCAGCAACAAUGAUGGCGGUGGAGACCUUCUUCAUGUCCAUGGCGUAUAAAGUGAUUAUUAAACGCACAGGAAAUGAGAGGGACCUGCGUUUAAUUACCGGUGAAUGGGGAUCCGCCGAUGAUUGUUAUUAUUUGCUUUGUUAUUGCAGGUCUGAAGAACAAUGAUGGUGGGGAGGAUCAUUUAUAGGUGAAAAUUCAUGGCUAUUUUUAGUGACGAAAUUUUUUUAAAAAAAUUACGUGUUCGGUUUUCGCAUGGUUUGCGGGAUAGACAUGCAAUUUUUUUAAAUAUUUUUUUAACGAUUUUGACUGGUUUUUAGAUAAGGAGAUUUUUGAUAAAUUAUAAUAAGAAGGGAAUUUUUUUUUUGGUAACAAGAAAAGGAUUAAAAAAUUAACAAGAAAUAUAUAACGGGAUUCGAACACACAAACAUGCUAUCCAUCCUUACAAGAUGACUGACUAAAGAAGGGGCACUAUGAAAUAUCUGUGUGCCAACCGGUGCUUCCUUCAUCAUAUCAGCCAACGAGUGUGCUAUAGAGUUAACUUCUCUUGGAAUCUAUUUGAAGACAACAUUUAAAUCACAACUUAUUAACUCUCGAAUUAUAAGAACCAAAUCUCUCUGAACACACCCUCUCAAUUCGCCAAUAAUUCCUUUAAAGGCAAGUACACAAUCUAUUUCCACUAAGAUAUCUCGUCAUUGGGCAUCCCAUGCCAUAAUAAGCCCAUUAUAGAUCGCCUAAAGCUCCGCUUGCUCCACACCACACCUACCAAUAUUUCUACUUACUCCAUGAGUCCAAUUGCCAAAUUCAUCUCUCACCACUGCUGCCGAAGCUGCCAAACUCAAUACUGGAUCAUGGGCCCUAUCAGUAUUCAAUUUAAUGGUACCCGUCGGAAGAGGGAUCCAUCGGGUACACCUAGUUUGUCUUCUGGAACAAUCAUCCGGUCUUCCAGCUGUGCACUUAGAGCAUUAACCUAAUUCCAUGAAGAGUGAAAGAUAAAAUCUUUACUGAACGGAACAUCCUGGAACACAUACAAACAUCUAUGUUUCCAAAUCUUCCAACAGAGCAUACCAAACAGAGACCUUCAAUCAAGUUCAUGAAAAACUAAGCCAAAUACAUUCCUCAACUUAACCCUUAGCCAGUCUUUCGCGAGUAAGAGAAGAAACGAUGCAAUAAUCUCGGAGGAAUAACCUGCUCCCAAAUAUCUCUUACCUUACAACAAUCCUUUAAGGAAUGAAUAAUAGAUUCAUUUUUACAUCUGCAAAACUUACAAGAAGAAGAAUCUGACAUACCUCUUCUACAAUGUUCCACAUUAGUUAAUAAGCGUUCCUUGAAAACCAUCCAAAGAAAUUGUCUUACACGUUGUGGCCUUGCAAAAGACCAGACGAUUUUCCAACUAUCUUACGAAGGAUUCAAGGCAUCUUUAUUGAGAAAAUUAUAGGUAGACUUAACUGAUAAACUCCCAUUAAAAUAUCAUUGUGAUAUCAUUGAAUCGGGACCAACUAGGCAAUUAGGAACUGGAAUACCUGCAAUGUAAGAUAAAAUAAUAUCAUCUAAGAAACAUCUUAGGUACUACCGGUUCCAAUCCUCGUCCAUCGACACCAUUCCCCUAAGAGAAAUGGAUUCAUUAAUAAGCGAGAUGUUAUGGCAAAAAUUAAUCAAAGGUCCAACCUUAAUGACCCAAUUAUCGGUCCAAAAUUUGAUACGAUUACAAUCACCCGCAAACCAUGCAACACAUUUGCGCAAAAGUGGCCAAAUCUUUGCAAGUGAUCUCCAAAGAAAGGAACAACAAUUCUUUGUAAUGUCAACCAGGAAAUCAUCAACUAUUUUGUAUUUAGCUCUCAGGAAAAUAACCCAUAAAGCUUUUUUAUUUGUGAGGAAAUUAAACCCCAACUUGAGUAGAAAAGAGUCGUUCUGGACUGUAAACCUCCUGAUACCUAAACCUCCAUUAGAAAGUGGUUGGCAACAAUCAUUCCACCUAACUAAAGAAGGCUGCUGAUUUGUAUUGGAACUCCCCCAAAUAAAACCUUGAGCUAUAUUUUCAAUCUCAUUACAGACAGAAAUAGGAAUCUUAACAGAUUGCAUGAAGUAGUUAGGGAUUGAUAGCAAGACUGAUCGUGCCAAAAUGACUCGACCAACCAUUGAAAGUGGCUUAGCAUCCCAACUAUCCAACUUCCUCCAGAUCUUGUCAAUAACAAAAUGGAAAGUGCUCAUUGUAACUCGUCGAUGAAAUAACGGUACACCCAAAUAAAAAUCCAAAUCAUCAGUCAUGCUAAAUCCCAAUGUACUACAAAUUUAGCAGAAACAUUAACCUCAAUAAUCUUUGAAAAGAAAAUGUUAGUUUUUGGCCCAUUGACUUUAUGCCCCGACGCUGCUCCAAAAAUCCUUAGAACGUUCCGAAUUCUUAUAGCUUGAUUCAUAUAUGUGACACUGGCGGCCCAUUUUUACCAACUGAAAAAGUUUCCACGUCUUAUCCUCAACCUCUUUAUGAGUAAGCUGUCCCAGUCUCUCCAUACAUAGAAUGAAAAUAUAAGGAGAUAAUGGGCAUCCCUGCCGGAUACUUCUCGUUGGUUGGAAUCAGGGAUUCAAAUAACGGAACGUUUUUAGAAUAACGGCGUUAUAUAGCGGUAGCGCCGCCGACCGAAACCGCUAUUGCUGAAAAUAACGGAGGGAAGCGGAUUCACACCGAUAACGGUGGAUAGCGGCCGCAAUUUAACGGAUAACGGACAAUUGCGGCAAUAACGGGCCUCUAUUCCCGUUAUUUUCCGUUUCCGUAAAUUAAAAAAAAAUCAAGUGCUGUAGAUGGACAUGGAUGGUGAUUCUGGUGAAUGAAAUAUUGAAGUGAAUAGUGAAAAGUGAAAAGUGAGAAGAAAGACUGAAUAAUUGUACUUCAUAAUAAAACAAAAGACAAGGGAAUAUAUUCCCUCCCAACCUGCAAUCAAAACAAAGUAAAGUAAAAGACUGAAUCUGAAAGUCGAUUAAAAAAAUCAAAACUCACUCACACAACACAAUACAAGGCAGUACUCAGUAAGUCAGACUCACAAACUCACAUUUCACAGAAUCACAAGCAAACGAAAAGGCAAAAUAUAUUUCUUCAUUCUCCAUAUUUCGGCAAGGCAAAAAACACAGCCACAGGGCACAGGCAGCAAGCAAAGCAAUAGAUCAAGUAAGUAGAGAAAACUAACCCAGUAAAGUACUUGCAUGUCUUGAAUCUGCAACAUAGAGUGAUUUUUUGAUAUUUUUAUCCCUAGAUCUAUAUUCUACACAAAAAAAGGGGGGGUUAAAAUGUUUUCGGCGAUUUCCGACCACCGUGCACGGCGGCGCCGUCGCCGGUGAUCGGCGGCUGCCCCAGUGGCCGAUGGCCGGAUUCUGGGCAACGGCAGAGAAGAAAGAUAAUUGAGAGAAAAAGGCAAAAAAAUUAUUUGAAGAAUCGCUGAAAUGAAGAUUCUGAAAAUUUUUUUCAUUUAAAUAGGCCUUCAAAACGACGCCGUUUUGGGCAGGCCACUCUGGCACCAAAACGACGCCGUUUCGGCCUAACCCGCGCACUUACUCGACCCGUUUACUAGGAUCCGCGUGUUUUUAACAGAAGGGUUAAUUGCGCUUUUAGCCCUUCCUAUUUUUUAUUAUUUACAAUCAAGCUUAUUUCUUUUUUAAUUUUGUCCUAUAAUUUAUUUCGUAUUUCAAUUUGGUCCACCUUGAAGCUGUGCGUUUUGAAGGAUGGGGAUUAUUUCCCAUUUGAUCCAUUUUUGUUAUUUGUGCAUUCAAUUUGGUCCUUUUUCUUUUUAUUUAUUUCGGAUUUGCCGCAAAUUUAUGUUUUAAGUUCGAUUUAGUCCCUUUUUGUUAUUUUUGCUAUUUUAUUAUUAAAUUAAUUAAUUUAAUAUUACUAUUACUAUUAUUAUUUUUCCUUUUUUAUUUUAUUAUUUAUUUACUUGUUAUUAUUACCAUAUUAUUAAAAUUUAAUUAGUUUUGCAUUAUUAUUUCAAUUAUAUUUCUUUUCAUAUUUAUUUACCUAAAUAUUUUAAAUACAUUUAUUUUAUUAUAUCAUUUUAUUUAUCUAUAUAGUAUAUCCUUUCAUAUAAUUUUUAAUUUUAAGAUUUUUAUUAUUGUUAUUAUUAUUAUUAAUACCAUCAUCAUCAUCAUCAUCAUGAUUAUUAUUAUUAUUAUUAUUAUUAUUAUUUAUUACCAUUAUUAUUAUUAUUAAUAAAAUUUUUUACACAAUAUUUAUUUAUUUAUUUCUAUAAUAUUAGGUCUUUACUUUAGCUUUAAAUUUUGUUUACUUUUUUUGGUAUUAUAUUGUUGUUAAUAUAACUAUAUAAGUAAUGAGUUGCUUAUAUUUCUAAAUAUAAUUUUAUGUUUCUUAUAUAAAUAAAAAUAAAGCAUGCCACCACGUGAAGAGUUCCCGACUAAAGGAUUGGAGGGUGCACCAAGUAAUGAUAUAGGUUGGCACUUUGGAACUCUAGUGCCAAAUGCGAGAGGAAGUAUCGUAUGUAAACUUUGUGGUAAAGUUGUGAAAGGAGGAAUAACACGAUUUAAAGAGCACAUUGCUCAUAAAACCGGCAAUGUUGCACCAUGCCCUAAUGUUACUGGUAUGUGAUACUUUAUUAUUAUUAUUAAAUGUUAUUGUAAAUUUAUCAAUAAAGAUUAUAUAUAAUUGAUAAUAAUAUAAAGUGUGAAUUAUUUUUAUUUUAUUAACAGGUGUCAUUAGAGAAAGUAUGAUGAAUGUACUAAAAGAAAGCAACACAAAGAAAAUAGACAAAAAGAGGAGAAAAGAUGAAUUCUUAUCUCAAUUAACAGAAGAGGAGGAUGAGCAUGAGGGAUUCAUUGAUGAGGUUUCUGCUAUAAGGCAAGCAACUCGAGAAAGUAUCCAAUCACAACACGAGUGGUAUAGAAGGGAAGAAUUCAGACGAAGUACUGGUGGUUGGGAUAACAUUUAUGAAGAAGGGCGAUCUUCUCAUGGAUCAGCUAGAGAACAUAAUAGAGAAAGAACAAGUAAAUCUAUUCCAGGUGAGUUUGAGUUUACCUUAAGGGGAGCUAUACCUGAAUUGGUUAGAAGCAAAAGUUCAAAGCAACCAAAGGUCAAUGACUCUUUUUUAAAGAGUUUUCGAAGGAAGAUAGGUGAAGCGGUAUCUAAAUUUAUAAUAUAUGAAAGACUUCCUUUUCAAUUAGCAAGCUCUCCAUGGUUGUAUAACUUAAUUCAAGUGGCAACAGAAGUUGGACAAGGUGUAAAGCUCCCAACACCUUAUGAGGUUUCAGAUGUGUAUUUGGAGUCAGAGUAUCAACGAGUUCAUGAUUGGGUAAAUGUACUAAAGACUCAUUGGAAAGAAUUGGGUGCAACUCUAAUGUGUGAUGGUUGGACCAACAGUUUGAAUCAAAUGCACAUCAUUAAUUUCCUUGUUUAUUGCAGUAAAGGAACCAUUUUUUGGAAAUCGGUAGAUGUCUCAAGUGUCCGUAGUAGAGAUGCUGAAUUCUACUACCGUUUAUUAGAUUCAGUUGUAGAAGAAAUUGGAGAAAAUUACAUUGUCCAAAUAGUGACUGAUAAUGAGGCAGCAAUGAAAGCUGCUGGAAAAAAGUUAAUGUUGAAAAGACAACAUCUAUAUUGGACCUCAUGUGCAGCUCACUGUUUAGAUUUAUGCCUUGAAGAUAUUGGGAAAAAGCCCAGUGUAGCAAAAGUGUUAGAUGAGGCAAAGAAAGUGACUUGCUUUAUAUACAAUCACAUUUGGACUGUUGAUUUGAUGAAGAAGUAUACACAAGGGAAACAAAUACUUCGACCCGCUCUUACUCGAUUUGCAACUCAUUUCAUUCAACUUGAAGAGAUAACAAGACAAAAGCAAGGUUUGAGAGAAAUGUUUAAUUCAAAGGUCAGUAUUUUAUAAUUAGUUAAUAUAAUUACUUAAAUAUAGUAAUCUUUAGUGAUUUUAUUAGUUCCAAAUAAUUUAAAUUAUAUUAUUUUAAAAUUUUUCUUAUGAAUAUAUAGGAAUUUAAAGAAUCAAAAUGGGGAAAGCAAAAGUCAGGGCCUGCUUAUGAAGCCAAAAAUAUUGUUUUGGGAAAAGAUUUUUGGAAAAAAGCCAAUGACCUCAUAAAAGUUUAUGAGCCCUUAGUAAGAGUAUUGAGACUUGUGGAUAGUGAUGAAAAACCAACGAUGGGCUUUAUUUAUGAGGCUAUUGAUAGGGCUAAACGAGCAAUUCAACAAAAUUGUCGAUAUUUCACAGAGUAUGAAAAGAUUAUUGACAAUAGAUGGAAUUUUAUGCAUUCCGACUUGCAUUAAGCUGGUAAGAUAAAAUAUUUCAUAUAAUUAAGAACUAUUUUUAUAUUUUAUUAUUUUAAGCUUUAGAUUAUUAUUAUUUGAUGAUAUUCUUAUAAAUUAUACUUAGGUUAUUUUCUCAACCCUCAAUUUCAAUUUGGGGUGGAGCAUUCUGAGAAUGUAUUAAUAGAAACAUUAGAAGGUACACGAUCAGUAAUUGAAAGAUUAGAACCUUCUAUGGAUACUCAAGUCAGAAUGGUUAAUCAGGUUAGAUUCAACUACUAUUAUUUGUAACUUAGUUAAAUAAUUUGAAAUAGAAUUUUUAUUUUUAUUUUUACUCUAUCUUUUAUUUAUGCAGUUGUUAUUAUUUAGAGAUAAACAUGAGACAUUCGGUACUCCACAAGCACAAAGAGCUUGGAAGCAAAUGAAUCCGGGUAAACAGUUAAUUAAAUUAUUUAAUUUAAUUUAUAUUAUUUAAUUAUAUUGUACAUUUUAAAGUUAUUUUGAAAUUUAAAUAAUAUUAUGCAGCUGAGUGGUGGAUGAUAUAUGGCACAUGUGUUCCCGAAUUACAAAAAUUAGCAAUUAAAGUGCUUAGUCAAACAACUUCAGCAUCAAAUUGCGAACGAAAUUGGAGCACAUUUAGUUAUAUUCACACCAAGGCAAGAAAUAGGUUAAAGUAUAAAAAACUUGAAAAACUAGUGUUUACCUAUUAUAAUAUGAGGCUUAAGAUGAGGCAUCAACAAAGAAUGAGCACUGAUGAUAUAAAUGUUAGUUUUAAUCCUAUCAGCCUUGAUUAUAUCUUUGAAGAUGUUGAUCCACUAUCAGAAUGGCUUCAUGAGAAAGAGAAUCCAUUGUUAGAUGGUGAAAAUGCCGGUGUGUUGCCUGUGGAUACCUCUGAUGAUGAAAUGGAUGUUGAUCAAUCGCAACAACAAAUUUUGUCUCAUUCAAGUUCUAGUUCAACUCCAAGUCAGAGUGGCGAUGGACCCGAUGGUGGUGGUUUAAGUCCAAUUGAUGAGGAUGACGGAUAUAGUGGUGAUAGAGGUGAAAUUAGGUCUUCUAGUCAGUAUGGAGGAGAAUAUGGGGGUGGUACCACUGGUGGACAUUUUCGUGACAGAUCAGAGUUUGAUGGAAAUAUGUUUCCUGAACCUAGGAGAGAUAGAAGUGAACCUAGAGCUCCAUCAAAGGGAAAAGGCAAGAAGCAUACUUCUAUAGGCUCUUCAUCUGGUAGUGGUAGGAGAUCGAGUUCUAGUAACCUUGGGUAUAGUGAUUCAUCUACUAGCACUCAAGGUUUUUAUCCACCAGAACAACCUUCACAUGGUUAUCCACAACCAUAUGGUUAUUAUCCACCAUUUCCUAAUUAUGGUGUGCCAUACCAGCCUCAAAUGUAUCCUCCUCCACCAAUGUAUCACCCACCUCCACCUUUCAUGUAUCCUCCUCCUCAAAUAUAUCCUCCAUAUCAAUUGAAUGAAAACCAAGGUGAAAAUGUUGCUUUUUUUGGAUAUAUUUUUGGACAAAGGCCAAGAGAAUCAAGUCAAGAACGCUCCCAAAGUGAAGGUGAAGGAUUUGAUCUUCCUCGUCAUUCCACUAAUUGGUGAAAACUAAAUCGUGCCACUAUCAUUAUUUGUAAGGUAUGUUUUUUUUAAAGAAAUCCUUUGUUAUUGUUCUUAAUUUUGAUGAUAUUAAAACAUUUAAAAUAAUAUAUAUCUUUAGAUAAAUGAAUGAAGUAUAUUUCAUGAAAAGAUAAUGAAGAAUCGAAGCAUGUUAAAUUAUAUAUGAAAGUAGAAUGAGAUGAGAAUAAGUGGUAGGAAAUAGGAAUAAUUAAUAAGAAUCUAUUCAUUAAUUUAUCUAUUCCUUUUUUCCUUUUGCAGCGUAUUUAUAUCUUCACUAUCUUCAAAGCUGUCAAGAAAUAUUGAAGACAUCUCUCAUGUAUGAAUUCUCAAUUCUUUUAUUUAUAAAAACUUUUAAACUUAUUAAAUAUGAUAAAUGUUUAAUAUUUCUUUUUUUUUACUUUGUUAUUAGUUAAUAUAACAUUCUUAGAAAAUUCGUAAAUAAAUAUAAGAAUAAUUAAUGAUUAUAAAAGUUGUGUUCUCAUGUCAUAUUAAUAAAGGUUCAUAAGUGUUAGAAAACACUCUAAAAAUCAUUAAAAGUGACUUUUUAUAAUUAUAAUUAUAAUUACUAUGUUUUACAGUAAGUUGUGCGAAUUUGAAAAAAAUUCACGACCGCGAUACCCGCAGUGACCGCAAUAGCGUCCAUUAUGUCCACGACCGCGACAAACGCGACGCGACCGAAAACACGACCGCGACCGCAAUUUAAAUCCCUGGUUGGAAUUCCUCCGUAGUAUUACCAUUCCACAUGAUCUGCAUAGACACAGUAGAAACACAGUUCAUAAUAACAUUUGAUAAGGACGAAGGAAUACCUGUAUCCAAUAAAGUGUUUGCAAUAAAGUCCCACCGAAUCCUGUCAUAGGCUUUCUCGAAAUCCACCUUAAUAGCCAUCCAACUCUUCUUGCCUUUCUUAGUUCGUAUAGAGUGAACUAUCUCUUGGGCAAUGAUAAUGUUGUCAGUUAUCUAUCUUCCUGCAACAAAACUUACUUGAUUCUGAGCAAUGAGAAGAGGGAAAACAAGUUUGAAUCAAUUGGCUAUUACCUUUGUUACAAUCUUAUACUAGACAUUACAGAGGCUAAUUGGCCGGUAUUGGGAUAAGGACUCCGGAUUAUAAGUUUUCGGAAUAAGGACCAACAAUGUCUUGUCUAUCGAAUGAUCGAGAGGAGACCCUGAGAACUCACUUCGAACCCAACUGCAAACAUAAAAACCAACAAUACUCCAUUGACUCUAAUAGAAUAACGCAUGAAGCUUAUUCGGUCCCGAGGCAUUCAAGGGACCCAUGCUAAAAAGAGCAUUGCAAAUUUCCUCAUCUGACACAUCCAUAGUCAAUGAAUCAAUAGAAUUUUGCACCAACUUUGAAAACCGACCCCGCAACGGAAACAAGAAAUGAGCUUGAUCAUCCAACGAGUAAAGAGAUGAAGAAUAACGAAUUGCUUCCUCCUACAAGAUCACAUCAUCAUAACACCAAGAGUCUCCCACUUUCAAAGUUAAAAUCUUAUUGAAAUUACGCAUUCGGAUCGUUUUAUUAUGGAAAUAUUUAGUGUUGCGAUCACCAAACUAGGCCUAAUCCACUCUCGACUUUUGUCUCCUUAGGCUUUCUUCUUCAUCCAAGACCGUUUCAUACUCAAUCCACAAGUCGUGUUCCCGAUUCAAAAAGAAAAUAGAAGACCUCCUAUCUGGAGCAGCUUGAACCUUAGCAAUACGAUUAGCUAGAAGCCUUUUCCUAUGACCAAUGUGACCAUAAAUCUCAAAGUUCCACUUUCUGAAAACCUCCAUCAAAGAGGCAAGAUUGUGUGCAAUAUUUGGCCCAAACCUCCAUUUUUCUCGAACAAGUUGAUCAAAAUUCGGAUUAUUAAUCCAAGAAGCCAAGAAAUGGAAUGGCCUUACACAACGAACAGAACUAGGAUUAGUCAUAGAAAUGGGAAUAGGCCUAUGAUCUGACUUCAGCCGUGGAAGGUGAAACACCAAGGCAUCAGAAAAGGUAUGACACCACUCACCAUUACCAAUGGCUCGAUCCAAUCGAAUAUGUUUUAAUAUUGAAUGAUAAUGAAUUUUUAUUUAAAUUUAAUUAAAUUAUUUGAAUAUGUUUUAUUUUUUUCAUUAUUAUUUUUAAAAUUGUAAAAUUUGAUUUAGACGGAUAUGAUUUUUUUUUUACGAAACGGGUUGUGAGGUGGAAUUAAUGUGUAUUAAUUCCAUAGAUUUUAUAUUUAUUUAUUUUGAAUGGAUAUUUUUUAAUUAAAACCUAAAGUAAAGUGAGACGAUUCUAAUCAUUUAUAUGUAAAUAUUAUAUAAUAAGAUGUACUUAAAAAAUAUUAUGUACUAUGAUAAAUGUAGAUUUAUUCAUGGAUCGGACUAUUCGGCCCGGUCUAAAGGGCCACCUAAAAAUUGGAAAGAUUUGGAUAAAAAUAUAAAUUCAAAAAAUGGGCUUAGUAAAAAUAUAUAUAUAUUGUAGAAGCCCAAAUUUGCCCGGGCCCUAACAGCAAAACAAAUUUCAGCCCAAAUGGCCCAGUUACAUUAUAAAAUUAAUUGGACCAGCCCAAACACCAACCCACAAGCCCAAUUACAACCCAAACCCGAGGCCCAAAUCUGGAGCCCAAUUCCCCCCAAAAACCCAACUAGGGUUUCAGAAAAAUGAAACCCUAGCCAAACCUAGCGCCGCAUCCAUCCCUCUGUCGUUCGCCUUGUCCCAUCGCCACCUACCGUGCCUAGCUUCAUCAACACCUGCAAAAUGGCAGAAAAAGCCGGAGCACGCAACAGAUAGUGCAAAAACAAUAGAAUACAACCAGAAAAAAAUACAAUGUAAAUUGGCUAUAAAAGCCAAACAAUAUCUCUGUACAAGGUUUUUUUUUUAGACAGCGUUUUUGAAUCCAAAAAAAAAAGAAAAACAGAUCAAAAGGUUGACUCCAAUUUAUUCUUCUCUGUUCUUGUUUCUUAUUUACUUUACUCUUUAUUUAUUGUUUAUUUUUUUCGCAUUCGUUCAACAAAGAAAAAGGAAUUGAAAGGGAGAGGAGAAAAUACCUUACCGCUUCGACGGGCUGGUGUCGGAACCCCACCCUUGCCGUCGUCGGAUUCGAGCCGAAAGGGGCGUCUCAUCCCUUUUCCUUUUGGUCUUGCGGUUGAGAAGGCUUAGCCUUCGGGGACGCCGCAAAAAUGGGAGGCUUAGGGGCCUUUCUCGCGCAACUCCGGCCAUUGGCCAUGGAGGCGGAGAUGGCGGCCUGAGCUUAAAGGGCCGAGAGAGAUGUAGGGAGGAGAGCACUCGGGCUCUCAGUUUUCCUUUUUUUUUGUUUUUUUUUUAUUUUUUGAUUGUUUAGAAAAUGAAAUGGAGGCUGCCAGAUUAGGGUUCUUUUUGGCCCUUGCUUGAUGUGUGAAACGACGCCGUUUGGAGUCUGAUCAGUGGCUCCAAAACGGCGUCGUAUUGAGCUCUGACCCGCGCGGUGACCCGACCUAGGGGAAGGAUCCGCGUGUUUUCUUUAAAUGGGAUAUUUGCGCGCGUAGUCCCUCCGACUUUGUAGCGCGUUGCAAUCUGGUCCUAUUUCGCUAUUUCCUAUUUUUCAAUGUAGCCCCAGAAUUCUAUUUUUGUUCUAAUUUGACCCUCUACUGCACUGUGUUUUGGGGCUUCGGGGUAUUUACCAUUUUGGUCCCCCUUUUUUUGCGCAUAUUACAUUUUGAUCCUUUAUUCUGUUUUAUUUUUUAUUUCAGCCCUGAGAUUUCGUUCACGUUUUGAAUUAGUCCUAUUAUUAUUAUUACUAUUAUUAUUAUUACCUAUUUAUUUAUAUUGAUUUUAUUUAAACUUCUGGUACAUAUAUAUAUAUUUAUAUAUUUUACAACUUAUGUACCUAUAUAUAUAUCUAUAUACAUAUUUUCAUUUUCAUAAAUACAUACAUAUUUAUAUAUAAUCUUUAUAGUCUAAAAUACACCUUUUUUAUAUUUUUUUUAAAUCCGCAUAUACAUACACAUUUUCAAUAUAUGUUUAGUAUGUAUAUAAAUUAACGUAUUUAUUUGUAUACAUAUGUAUAUUUUCAUUAGUUUUAAACUUUAGUUUGUACAUAUAUACUUUUUCUUUUAUUUUACAAUAUAUAUACACUUACUUUUUAUAUGUAUUCCUUUAUCUUCGUAUUCCAUAGUUUUAUACACCUAUAUGUACAUAUUUUUAUAUAUACGCAUAUUUAUUUAUCUUAUAUAAAAUAUACCUUAUAUGUUUUGUUAAUUCACGUAUACACAUAUUUUUGUUCAUGUCUAUAUAUAUCUUUUUAUACUUAAUUGUAUUUGCUAUUUAUUUAUUUCAUUUUUGUUAUUAUUUUGAAUGAAUGAUUUAACUUUAUUCGUUCUUUAUUUUGUUAUUUUGUAUGUUGUAAGCUUGAUCGUUCAUAUUGAUUGCUAUAGCUUGCAUCGUUUUUAUAUUUUCAUGUUCAUUAUGAUUUUGCCAUGCAUAAAUAAUGUAAUUUGCUUUCACUAUAAUUUUGUGCUUUAUUUUUACUCGAUAUAACAAAAUUUAUUUUUUUUUAAAAUGGCAUUUCGUGUUUGGAUUCGAGAAAAUCGUGCCCUAACUUACUGGGUUUCGAUUUUCUCGAUAAAUCUAAAUGUACGAAUCUUUUUAAACUCAAAUUUUAGAUGACCUCGGGAUUAAAAAAUCACGUCCUAACUUACUGGUCGUGAUCUCAUUUUUAAAUCCGAGAUGGCUAAAAUAUCUUUUAAAUAAGCAUUUUUCAUUCGCGUAUCGAGAAUUUGAGAUAUUGUAUUCUAACUUACUGGAUAUGAUUCUCUUUCUCGAUUAACGUGAAAUAUAUUUCUUUUUCCAAAAAAUUUCAUUUUAAUACAAGGAUCGUAUUUUUAAUUCUUUCAAGUUCUCAAUUUUCGACAUCAAGACAUUAGAUAAUCAACUAGGUACCAAUUUCUGGGCGUUACGAGGGUGCUAAUCCUUCCUCGUACGUAACCGACUCCCGAACCCGUUUUCUAAAUUUCGUAGACCAAAACCGUUGUUUUAAUAAAAUCAAAUUAUUUAUUAAAAACAACCUUUUUCCAAGGUGACCCAAUCACACCUCAAAAAGGAUUGGUGGCGACUCCCUUUUUUAUUUUCAAAACCCAAGUCGACCCCGUUUUUCAAUCAAAAAAAUGGUGUCAACAUAUAUAUAUACGUUCUUAUGCAUUGGCAACAAUGUCUAUGACAAUUGAGCUAAGACUCAACCGACUAAUUCCAUAAAUUUUAUAUUUAUUAAUUUUGAAUAGAUAAUUUUCUAAACUAAAACCGUAAUGCUAAAGUAAAGCGAGAUGAUUCUGAUAAUUUAUAUGUAAAUAUUAUAGUUACAUGCAAAUAUUAUAUAAUAAGAUGUACUAAAAAAUAUUAUAUACCAUGAUAAAUGGUCGGUAAGUUGGAGAUGAAUAUAAGACUAUAAAGGUAAAAUUGUUAGUUAAGCUCCUAUACAUAGGGGAAGAUUGCAUUUCAACCCUUUUAUUGAAAAAAUGAGCAAACUAGUCUUUAUAUAUUUCGAAACAUACAAAUUAGCUUAUCCGUUUCUUUUUGUAUCAAGACUUAAUCAUAGACUGGGUCAUUCGGUCCAACUCAAAGGCAUGUCCAAAAAGUUCAGACUCUUCAGAAUUAAUAAAAGCACAAGUUAGAUAUAUGAUAAAGUUAUAAUUUAACCCCAAAAUUGUUAAAACUUCAAUUUAAUCAUUUUAAAUACCAUAAAAUAUAAUUAAAUAAGUAUUUUAACUCUCAUAAAAAAAAUUUUUAAUCUCGCCGUGCAUUUAUCUAAUUACAUACUAGUUAUUAGUUUGUUAUUUUCAUCUUAUUCAUUGCUAUUAGUUGAAUAAAUCGAAAAGUAAACGCAUAAACACAAAAUAUUAUUCAAAGCUCCAUUUUAUUCAAAUUUUUUCAGUAUUCAUCACAUGUUUCUUUCAAAAAGAAUAAAAUAAAACAUUCGUUCACAUGUUCAUUUUUCAUAUAUGUAGCUUAUUGUAGCAUGUAAGAAAACAAAGAAACAAUGGAGGCCCCAACCAAUGAUCCAAGAACAGGCAAGGUUGUGGCAGCCAUGCUGGAAUCCGGUCCUGAUGCUGGAGCGGAACCAGGAGAGGAGCUAGGACUAGAACCACCGGCUGAAGGGGCAGGAGAUGGAGCACCGGCAGCCAUGACGGCGCUCAUUGAGGCGGCAGCAACAAUGAUGGCGGUGGAGACCUUCUUCAUGUCCAUGGCGUAUAAAGUGAUUAUUAAACGCACUGGAAAUGAAUGAGACCUGCGUUUAAUUACAGGGAUCCGCCGGUGAUUGUUAUUAUUUGCUUUGUUAUAUCAGGUCUGAAGAACAAUGAUGGUGGGGAGGAUCUUUUAUAGGUGAAAAUUCAUGGCUAUUUUUAGUGGCGAAAUUUUUUUUUUAAAUUACGUGUUUGGUUCUCGCAUGGUUUGCGGGAUAGACAUGCAAAUUUUUUAAAUAUUUUUUAAACGAUUUUGACUGGAUUUUUUAGAUAGGGGGAUUUUAAUAUUUUUUUAAGAGAAAGAGAGUAGUAAAUUAACUGUAAUUACAUCAACAUCAUCUUGCAAAUUAUUUAGAAUGGAAGUAUCAAUUGUUGGGGAGAAAAAACAAAUUAAUGGAGACCCAAUUAUAGUCAAAUAUCAUUUCAGCUAAAGCAUUAGUCACUCCAUUAGAUUUCCUUAAAUAUGCUUGAUGUGAACCGCGCAAAGCUCUUUUAUUCUGCAUACUAGUUCCCUUUUCACUCACCAUUAAUUGCUUGAACUAUAGUUAAACAAUCACAUUCUAAAACAAUCAAUUUCCACCCUUUAGACCAAAGCAAUUUAAGUCCACCAUAGAUUGGCCAAGGUUCUGCUUGUUAAACACUACAUUUUCCAAUAUUAUGAUCAUAGCCAAAUAUCCAUCUACCAUGGUUGUCUCUAGCAAACUCAGCUGAGCAGGCAAGUUUGGUAUAAAGUUUCCCUACACCGUCUGUGUUCAUUUUGACGCAAUCAAUUAUUGGUUGCUGCCAGGUGUUUGGUUUGAUUCAAUUUUUAACCUUAAUCAUUGGUUCCCUAUUAUGUUUAACAUUCACAACCCAACUCCAAGCCGAUCUUACAAGCAUACUAGAAUUAUGAGGAACAUUUUCAAAAACAAAAGAAAUAUUCCUUUGUUUCCAUACAAACUAGCAUAGUAUACCUAACAGGUGAUUCAAUUAAAAUCUUUGAAAUGUAAAUUUAGUUUAUUAGAAAGGUUGAAAUUCACCCAAGAUAAAAGUGACGGACAUAAGAACUUGGAGUAAAAUGAAUUCGGAAUGAACUACAUCCAUACUUCCUCAGCUUUGGAACAAUCAUUAAGUAUAUGAAAAAAAUUUAUUCUACAAAUCCAAAAAUGCAGCAACUGGCGUCAUCCGUCAAUCCGCGUCUUUCCAUACUAAUAUAUUUUAAUAGUAAAAUAGACCACAAAAUUAACUUGAGUCAAUUUGAAGUUUUUUUAAAAAUUCAGAAAAUACAAUUAUAAAACAAUUAUAAAUAUAUGUCCAAUCAAUUAUAGUAUAGAAUUCAAUUAAUUACAACUAUAAAAUAAAUACAAAUAUAUUUAAACACCCUUUUGUCUUCAUUCCUAUCUUCACCCUCUUUAGUGGUAGGAGGCAAAAGGAGGGGGUUGAUAAGGGCUUUACACCCUCUCUUAAAUGGGUUUAGACUCUCCAAAAUUCAUAAAAACAUAAGUUAAAUAUAAGGUAAACUGUAAAAAUAAUCACUUUUGUUUGUAUUAGAUUAUAUUUUAGUCAUUUAUAUUUGAAAUGUUACGUUUUAGUCAUUUACAUUAUCAUUUUGUUACGAAGUAGUGACUCUGCCGUUCAGCUCCGUUACCUCCCUAAAGACAAUCCUAUGUGGGAUAGUCACUUUUGUUUGUCUUAUAAUACAUUUUAGUCACUUCUAUUUGAAAUGUUAUGUUUUAGUCACUUGUAUUAUCGUUUUGUUACGAAGUAGUCACCGUGUCAUUCAUCUCCGUUACCUUCCUAACAACAAUCCUAGAUGGCAGUCUAAAUUGGUUUUAAAUGCCAACUUGGAUGUCCAACUGGGAUGAGAAUAGUUUUUGUUAAGACGAACGGUUUUUGUUUUCCAAUUCAAGGUGUAAUUAAUUUAAAAUUUACAAUUAAUUAAAUUUAGUUAAUUAAAAACCUAUUCUCGUACCAAUUAGGCAUCCAAGUUGACAUUUAAAAUCGAUUUGGACUACCACUUAGGAUUGCCGUUAGAGUGACCACUUUCUAACAAACGAUAACGUAACAUUUCAAAUAUAAGUGACUAAAAUGUAACCUAAGGCAAAUAAAAGUGACUAUUUUUAUAAUUUACCCAGUCUAAAUUGGUUUUAAAUGCCAACUUGGAUGUCCAACUGGGAUGAGAAUAGUUUUUGUUAAGACGAACGGUUUUUGUUUUCCAAUUCAAGGUGUAAUUAAUUUAAAAUUUACAAUUAAUUAAAUUUAGUUAAUUAAAAACCUAUUCUCGUACCAAUUAGGCAUCCAAGUUGGCAUUUAAAAUCGAUUUGGACUACCACUUAGGAUUGCCGUUAGAGUGACCACUUUCUAACAAACGAUAACGUAACAUUUCAAAUAUAAGUGACUAAAAUGUAACCUAAGGCAAAUAAAAGUGACUAUUUUUAUAAUUUACCCUUAAAUAUAUGAUAAAUUAUAAGUUAACCCCAAAAUUGCUAAGUUUUCAAUUUAAUCAUUUUAAAUACCAUAAAAUAUAAUUAAAUACGUAUUUUAACUCUAAUAAAAUAUAUACUUUAACCUUUAUUUCCCUAAAAAAAAAAUUUCCAACUUCCCCCUGCAUUUAUCUAUUUACAUACCAUUUAUUAGUUCAAUAAUUCAUUGUUAUUUUCAUGUUAUUAGUUGAAUAAAUCGAAAAGUAAAAGCAUAAAAACAAAAUACUUUUCAAAGCUCCAUUUCAAUUUUUUCAAUAUUCAUCACAUGUUUCUUACAAAAAAUAAUAAAUAAAAUAAAAUAUUCGUUCACAUGUUCAUUUUUGAUACAUGUAGCUUACUGCAGCAUGUAAGAAAACAAAGAAACAAUGGAAGCCCCAACCAAUGAUCCAAGAACAGGCAAGGUUGCGGCAGCCACGCUGGAAUCUGGUGCUGAUGCUGUGACGGAAGCAGGAGAGGAGCUAGGACUAGAACCACCGGCGGAAGGGGAAGGAGCAGGUGCACCGGCAGCCAUGACGGCGCUCAUUGAGGCAGCAGCAACAAUGAUGGCGGUGGAGACCUUCUUCAUGUCCAUGGCGUAUAAAGGGAUUAUUAAACGCACCGGAAAUGAACGAGACCUGCGUUUAAUUGCUGGAGAAUGGGGAUCCGCCGGUGAUUGUUAUUAUUUGCUUUGUUAUUGCAGGUCUGAAGAAGAAUGGUGUUGGGGAGGAUUAUUUAUAGGUGAAAAUUCAUGGCUAUUUUUAGUGACGAAAUUUUAAAAAAAAAAUUUACGUGUUUGGUUUUUGCAUGGUUUGCGGGAUAGACAUGCAAAUUUUUGAAUUUGUUUUAGCGAUUUUGACUGGAUUUUAUGGUUAGGGGAUUUUAUUAUUAUUAUUUUUUGGUAAGAGAAAGAGGAGUAGUAAAUUACAGAAUAAUAAUUACCUCAAUCAAUAUCAUUUUGUAAAUUAUUCAGAAUGGAAAUAUCUAUUUGUUGAGGGAUAAAGAUCAAUAAAUUCAUGUUGAUCCAAUUGAUAGUUAAACAUCAUUAUCAAUACAGGAGGAUGUGAGUUCGAGCGGGUUUAUCCUUCUAUUGAAAAGCUUGGAUGAGUUAUGGGUAGUUCUAAGCAUUGUAUCAACUUAUACUUUCACGGUUGAAUUAGAUUAUAAAAAAAAGGUACUAAGUAAGCUCCUGUAUUUAGGGUGUAUUGCAUUUCAGCCCUUUUACUAAAAUAGUGGCUAAAUUAGCCUUUAUGUAUUUCGAAACGUACAAAUUGGAUCAUCCUUUAAAUUUUAUCUAUUAAAUGAUGAUGUGGAACGUUAAAUCUAUGCUGAAAAUUAUUUUUUUAUAGGUAAACUAUAAAAAUGAUCCGUUAACUAUGUCUUUCGUUGUAUUCUAUUUUGGUCACCCACUUAUUAUUUUUUGUUUUGUUCAUAUCAAAUUAAUUAAUUUUUUAUUUCUUGAUUCAACCUAAAACUAUAUGGUUCUACAUUUUAAAAACAUUGAUUAAUAAUGACUAAGAAUUUUUCAUAAAUAAGACAUAUAAAAUAAAUUUUUGAAAAUUUUAUAUUUACAAAGAUGAAAAUCAAUCAAAACAUAGGAAAAAAAAACCCAAUUUCUUGUUUAAAAAAUCCAAUAAAAAUUUUAAAUAUAUAUUUAGAGAAAUAUGUUUUUAUUUAAUUUUAAAUAAUUUUUUUACAGCUUUUGUCUUGUUAGCUAUUAUUAAAUAAUCGAAUCAAUUUACUAUUUAAUCAAUUCAACCAACCAAUCUAAUGAAAUUUGAAGAAUUUGGUUUCUCAAGGUGGAUAUACACUUCAGUUCAAUUACUAUUUAUCAAUUGGGUCCUUAUUGGCUAAAAAUGAAUUUCUUUUAUACAAACAUAUAUUUAAAUUUUUAGAGGUAGGACUAAAUUGAUAGAUUUUAUAAAUAUUGAGGGUCAAAUUUAUUAUUUUUUUAAAAUUAUAAUUAAAAAAAUAAAUUUUGUAAACAUUGAGGACUAAAUUUGUUUAAUUUUUAUAUUUAAGAUCAAAUCGAUAGAAUGUAUAAAUAUUAGAGAGCUAAUUUUAUUACUAGACCAAUAAAAUAAGCCCACAUUUAUCUGAUUACAUACUAAUUAGUUCAAUAAUUCAUUGUUAUUUUCAUGUUAUUCAUUGUUUUGAAUAAAUGGAAAAGUAAAAGCAUAAACACAACAUACUUUCCAAAGCUCCAUUUCAAUUUUUUUCAUUAUUCAUCACAUGUUUCUUUCAAACAAUAAAAAAUAUAAUAUAAAAUAUAAUAUUCGUUCACAUGUUGAUUUUUCAUACAUGUAGCAUGUAAGAAAACAAAGAAACAAUGGAAGCCCCAACCAAUGAUCCAAGAACUGGCAAGGCUGUGGCAGCCACGCUGGAGUCUGGUCCUGAUGCUGGGGCAGAACCGGGAGAGGAGCUAGGAAUAGAACCACCGGCGGAAGGGGAGGGAGCAGGUGCAUCGGCAGCCAUGACGGCGCUAAUUGAGGCGGCAGCAACAAUGAUGGCGGUGGAGACCUUCUUCAUGUCCAUGGCGUAUAAAGGGAUUAAUAUUAAACGCACCAGAAAUGAACGAGACCUGCGUUUAAUUGCUGGAGAAUGGGGAUCCGCCGGUGAUUGUUAUUAUUUGCUUUGUUAUUGCAGGUCUGAAGAACAAUGAUGUUGGGGAGGAUCUUUUAUAGGUGAAAAUUCAUGGCUAUUUUUAGUGAUGAAUUUUUUUUUUAAAAUUACGUGUUUGGUUUUUGCAUGAUUUGCGGGAUAGACAUGCAAAUUUUUUAAUAUUUUUUAACGAUUUUUAGAUAAUGAGAUUUUAAAUUUUAAGAUUAAAUGAUAAUGAAUUUUUAUUUAAAUUUAAUUAAAUUAUUUGAAUAUGUUUUUUUCAUUAUUAUUUUUAAAAUUAUAAAUUUGAUUUCGACGGAUAUGAUUCUUUUACGAAACCUUAAUGGUAAAGUAAAGUGAGAGAUUCUAAAAAUUUAUAUGUAAAUAAUAUAUAAUAAGAUGUACAAUGAUAAAUGGUUGGAUGGUAAGUUUUUAUUGGGAUGAAUAUAAGACUAUGAAGGUAAAAUUAUUAGUUUAAGUUUCCGUAUUUGGGGAAGAUUGCAUUUUGGUCUUUUUAUUAAAAAAUGAGUAUAUUAGUCUUUAUAUAUUUCGAAAUGUACAAAUUAGCUCAUUAUGUUGAAAAUUAUCUUUUACGGGUAUAUAAAAAUUGUCACCCAAUCAUGUCUAUUGUUCUAUUUUGGUUACCCAACUAAAAAUUCAUUUGGAUUUAAGUUUACCUUGAACGUGGCACGAUUUGGCACUUUAUUGCCCAAUCAUGCUCAACUCAAUCACUUGGAUGCAUAAAUGGGAUUCAACUUCAUUGCACAGAGGCUUUACUUUUUCAUUGGAGGAUUACAACCCCACCAACUUUUUCUUUCCUUUUGUAUCUAAACCUAAUUAUGGGUCGAGUCACCUGGCUCGAAGACCCACUCGAAAAGUGAAAGGAUUUGUGCAAAAAUAUAGGCUCGAAAAAUGAGUUUAGGCAAAAAAAAAUAGGCCUGAUUUCUAAACGAGUCAGGCAUUGGGUAAACUUUUUUUGGCCUGGUCGAAUUUGUAAAAAAAACCUACUGCUUUUUGCUGCUAUUUUCACUGUUUUUGUUGUUGUUUUGCCACUAUUUUUGUGGCGUUUUGCUAUUAUAUUGCUAUUAUUUUGUUGUUAUUAAUUGAAUAUUGUAUAACUCUUAUUUUAUUGUAUUUGAUGUAUUAUUCUUUUUGAAUUUAUUUUUAUAUAAAAAUAAUAAUAUAAAAAAUUUUAAUACAGACAGCCCGCGCCAGACUCGGGUUUUAGCAUUUUUAUUCAGGUCAAAUUUGGGCAAAAUUUGCCCAGUUUUCAGGUCGGGUUGAAUCCAAGCACAUACUCAAUUGUUAUUUUUAACCUCAUCGGAACUAAACAAACUAAACCUUGUCAGAUACAUAAAUCAUACAGGGUUAGCAAGGCCUCGGCCUCCCCUAAAAUGAAAACUUUUUUAUUUAGGCCCCUUUGUAAUUUAUAAAAUUUUAAAUUAACAAUAAUAAAAUAGUGAAAUUACAGUUUUACUAUCAUAAAAAUAUAAAACAAUUUUAUUUGUUGGUCUAAAAUUUUAUACAUAUUAGAAUUACAAAAGGAUGAAAUUGUUACAUGCUGGUUAUUAGUUCAAUAAUUUAAUGUUAUUUUCAUGUUUAAAACUUAAAAAGUUAAUUCAACUACUUUAAUUUAUCGUAAUUUUAAUUUCGGAAAUCAAAACGUAAAACAUAAACACAAAAUAUUAUUCAAAGCUCCAUUUUAUUCAAUUUUAUUCAAUAUUCAUCACAUGUUUCUUUCAAAAAAAAAUAAAAUAAUAUAUUCGUUGACAUGUUCAGUUUUGAUACAUGUAGCUUACUGCAGCAUGUAAGAAAACAAAGAAACAAUGGAAGCCCCAACCAAUGAUCCAAGAACUGGCAAGGCUGCGGCAGCCACGCUGGAAUCCGGUCCUGAUGCUGGGGUGGAACCAGGAGAGGAGCUAGGACUCGAACCACCGGCGGAAGGGGCAGGAGAUGGUGCACCAGCGGCCAUGACGGCGCUCAUUGAGGCAGCGGCAACAAUGAUGGCGGUGGAGAUCUUCUUCAUGUCCAUGGCGUUAUAAAAAAGGGAUUAUUAAACGCACCGGAAAUGAAUGAGACCUGCGUUUAAUUACUAGAGAAUGGGGAUCCGCCGGUGAUUGUUAUUAUUUGCUCUGUUAUUGCAGGUCUGAAGAAGAAUGAUGUUGGGGAGGAUCAUUUAUGGUGAAAAUUCAUGGCUAUUUUUAGUGACGAAAUUAAAAAAAAAGAAAAAAAGAAAUACGUGUUUGGUUUUCGCAUGGUUUGCGGGAUAGACAUGCAAAAUUUUGAAUUUUCUUUAACGAUUUUGACUGGAUUUUUAGGCUAGGGAAUUUAAUUUUUUAAGAGAGAAGAGUACUAAAUUAGAGAAAAAUAAUUAAAUCAAUAUCAUCUUGUAAAUUAUUCAGAAUGGAAGUAUCAAUUUGUUGGGGAGAAGAAGUAAAUUCAUGGAGACUCAAUUGAUAGUCAAACAUCAUACCAACUAAGGCAUUAGUCGCUCCAUUAGAUUCCUUAUAAAUAUGCUCGAUUCAAACACCUAUGUUCGAGCGUAAAGCUCUUUUAUUCUGCAUACCAGUGCCUUGUUCAAUACGCCUUUAUAUUCAUCAUUGAUUGCUUGAAUUGCAAUUAAACAAUCACAUUCCAAAACAACAAGUUUUCACCCUUCAAACCAAAUCAGUUUAAGUCCACUAUAGAUUGCCCAAAGUUCUGCUUGUUCAAUACUACAUUUCUCAAUAUUGUGACCGUAGCCAAAUAUCCAUCUGCCAUGGUUGUCUCUAACAAUCCCAACUGAGCAGGCAAGUCCAGUAUGAGGUUUCCUUACACCGUCUGUGUUCAUUUUGACACAACUAGCUAUUAGUGAGUGCCAGGUGCUUGGUCUGAUUCGGUUUUUAACCUUAAUCUUUGGUUCCCUAUUAUGUUUAACAUUCACAACCCAACUCCAAGCCAAUCCUACAACCAUACCAGAAUUACGAGGAACAUUUUCAAAAACAAAAGAAUUCCUUUGUUUCCAUACAAACCGACAUAGGAUACCGAAUAGGGUGUUCCAAUUAACAUCUUUGAAUUGUAAAUUCGGUUCAUUAGAAAGAUUGACAUUCACUCAAGAUAAAAGUGACGGAGAUAAGAACCUGGAGUAGAAUGAAUCCAGAAUGAACUGCUUCCAUACUUCUUGAGCUUAGAAUAUUUUCUUCUGCAGAUCCAAAAUGCAGCAACUAGUGUCAUCCGUCAGUCUGCGUCUGCAUCUUUCCACGUUUGAGAGGAGUCGCUUGUUGUUCCAAUAGGGUCGGAAGCGUGUAAAUUAUUGUACUAAAAAAUCACACAAAGUUCAAUUCCCAGGGAAGAGAGGUGGAUCACAAGGAUCUCUUAAAUACCAAGUCUUUCCUUAGUCAGAAUAUUCCUUCUAACGUAAUUUAAUAGCACAAUUAAAUACUACUAUUAUACCCUCAAAUAUUGAAAGAAAAAUAGGACAAAAAGAACACAAGAGUUUUAACGAGGUUCGGUAAAUUAUACCUACGUCCUCGGGCACUAACACCAGAUGAUAACUUUACUAUCUCCAAAAUAUUACAAACAAAUAGAAUUCCUUAAGAAUUCUCAAAUGGGAGAAGAGAGAAAACUAAGAGAGAAAGAUUGGUUGGGAUGGUUGAAAUGAGAAAUGGUUAGGCCUAUUUAUAGUUGAAGUUCAGGGACUAACUUGCAAAUGACCUAAAAAAUUAGGGACCAAAAUUGCAAUUAUCCCUUUCAACUUUAAACAACUUGCCAACUAUUUUUUUUCUUUCGGUGCCAAUUGCACCUCCCACCAUUUUUGACUUUUCAACCCCUUUUUAAUUUAACUUAUCAACAAUCUCCACCUUGAAGAUUUGAUUAGGAUAAUCACAUCUUCACACACUUCCUUCAACUCCCCAAAUUUGAUAAAGCUAUCUUUUGUAGUGCCUCCAAAUGCGCUCUCGAGCGCCAUACACCUAAAGGUGCUCAAAUUCUCAGGAUGUUAAUCAAGUUCAAACAAUGAUUAAACUUGAUUGUUGUUACCACCUUGGUCAUCAUAUCUGCGGGAUUAUCUGUUGUCGGAAUCUUCUCAAGUAGAAUUUUUCCUUUUUCAAAGACUUCCCACACAAAGUGAUAUCUUACGUCGAUAUGCUUGGUUCUUGAAUGAUAGACUUGAUUUUUCGCUAAAUGAAUAGCGCUUUGACUGUCACAAUAUAGACUAAUGUGACUUUGAACAACUCCCAAGUCUUUCAAUAAUCCAUUAAGCCAAAUAGCCUCCUUAACAGCUUCUGUAACUGCCAUAUAUUCUGCCUCUGUAGUAGACACAGCUACUGUAGACUGUAAGGUAGACUUCCAACUCACUGGGGCUUUCGCAAGAGUAAACAGAUACCCCGUAGUUGAACGACGUUUAUCUAAAUCACCAGCAAAGUCGAAAUCAACAUAUCCAACUACAAACUGACCAAGUGCUUUAUCUUGUUCAAAAAUUAAACCAACAUCUACGGUUUUUCGAAGAUACCGUAGAAUCUAUUUCACAGCUUGCCAAUGUCCUUUUCCAGGAUCAUGCAUAUACCUGCUCACAACUCCAACAGCUUGUGAAAUGUCAGGCCUCGUACACACCAUCGCAUACAUCAAACUCCCAACUGCAUUAGCAUAUGGGACUUUCGCCAUAUAUUCUCUUUCAUCUUCAGUCUUCGGAGAUAAUUGAGCACUAAGUUUCAAAUGAGAAGCAAGUGGGGUACUUACAUGUUUUGUGUUUUCAUUUACACCAAAACAUUGUAAUACCUUUUUCAGAUAUUGCUUCUGAUUUAAACAGAGCUUGCCUCUCGGUCUAUCUCUACUUAUCUCCAUGCCGAGAAUCUUCUUGGCCUCACCUAGAUCUUUCAUCUCGAACUCUUGAUUCAACUGAGCCUUCAGCUUAUCUAUCUCAUUUUGGCUCUUCGAAGCGAUUAACAUAUCAUCAACAUACAAGAGUAGAUAAAUGAAAGAUCCGCCAUGCAGCUUCUGCAAAUACACACAAUUGUCAUAUUUGCUUCUUGUGUACUCCUGCCUUCUCAUAAAGCUAUCAAAUCGCUUGUACCACUGCCUCGGGGAUUGCUUCAAUCCAUAUAGCGAUUUGUUAAGCUUACAAACCCAAUUUCUACCACCAGCAUCUGUGUAUCCUUCUGGCUGAGUCAUAUAGAUCUCCUCUUCUAACUCACCAUGCAAGAAAGCCGUCUUAACAUCAAGUUGAGCUAGCUCCAAAUUCAACUGUGCUACCAAGGCCAACAAAAUUCUAAUGGAGGAAUGCUUCACAACAGGGGAAAAUACAUCAUUGUAGUCAAUUCCCUCCUUCUGAGCGUAGCCUUUAGCUACCAAUCUUGCCUUGUAGCGAAUAUCCUUCUUGCUAGGAGAUCCAUCUUUCUUUGCGAAUACCCACUUGUAUCCGAUUGCCCUUUUACCUUUCGGUAAUUGCGCCAACUCCCAAGUAUUAUUCUUCCGGAGAGACUGCAUUUCUUCAUCCAUGGCGCUUUUCCAUUUAUCACUUUCUAAGCUUUGCAUUGCUUCUUGAUAAGUGAUAGGAAUAUCAUCAACAACGGGAAGGGCGUAGGCCACCAUAUCAGUAAAUCGAGCAGGUUUACGAAUUUCUCUCCGUGGCCUUGCAACUGCAACUGGUUCUGGUGUACUUAGUGGUUCUUGGGUCAGAACCUCUUCAACCUCUAAUUCCUCCAUUGUGGCUGGAGAAUUAGACUUAUUAACUGGGCAAAUCCCCAUCUGCUCAAACUCCACCUGUUUUGGAGUACACUCCACCUGCUGUGGAGUAUUGCUCGUCUGAAUAUCUUUAUCUGCUACCUUUUUCAAUGUGGCAGAUUCAUCAAAGGUAACAUCUCUGCUACAGAUCAUUUUCUUUGUGCUUAAGCACCAAAGACGAAAUCCCUUCACUCCAGAAGUGAUUCCCAUAAAGAGAGCUUUCUUUGCCCUCGGAUCUAACUUUGACUCCUUCACAUGGUAAUAUGCAGUGGUUCCAAACACAUGUAAGGAAUCAUAAUCUGUAGCCGGUUUUCCAGACCAUACCUCCAUAGGAGUUUUUCUUUCUAAUGCAGAUGAUGGCAAACGAUUAACAAGAUGGCCAGCGUAUGUCACAGCCUCAGCCCAAAAUUGCUUGCCCAACCCAGCAUUGGACAACAUACAUCGAACUUUCUCCAGCAAUGUUCGAUUCAUACGCUCUGCCAAUCCAUUCUGCUGUGGUGUAUCCCUAACUGUGAAGUGUCGAAUAAUACCAUACUCUUGGCACACAUCGAAGAACGGAUCACUUUUAUAUUCCCCUCCAUUGUCCGUCCUAAGCCGCUUGAUUUUCUUGCCAGUCUGGUUUUCGAUCAUAGUUUUCCAUUUAAGAAAAACUCCAAGCACUUCAUCUUUAGUUUUCAUGGUAUACACCCAAACUCUUCUGGAAAAGUCAUCAACAAAAGUAACAAAGUAGUGUUUUCCUCCCAAUGAAGGUGUUUUGGAAGGCCCCCACACAUCUGAGUGAAUAUAUUCCAAAAUACCUUUUGUAUUAUGGAUAGCAGUGCCGAAUUUCACUCUCUUUUGCUUUCCCAGAACACAGUGCUCACAAAAUUUUAAUUUGUAAGCCUUUGCACCUUUCAACAAUCCUUGCUUUGCCAGAAUUUGCAAGGAUUUUUCGCUGGCAUGUCCCAACUUCAUAUGCCACAACUGCAUUGAGUCCAAGUCUUUGUUACCGGAAGCUGCAGCGACUGCUCCAAUAACUGUACUACCUUGGUAGUAAUACAAGUUAUUUUUCCUGAUGCCCUUCAAUAUCACAAGUGCGCCAGAUGUCACUUUCAAAACCCCAUCUCUCAUAGUAACAACUGAACCAUUGGAUUCCAAGGCUCCCAAUGAGAUGAGAUUUUUCUUCAAACUGGGCACGUACCGAACAUCAGUCAGAACUCUGGUUGAUCCAUCUUUAUUCUUUAAUUGGAUUGAACCUAUCCCAACAGUUUUACAGGCAUUGUCAUUGCCCAUAUAAACAACUCCUCCAUUUAGUUCUACUAAAUCAGAGAACCACUCCCGGUUAGGGGACAUAUGAUAGGUACAACCCGAAUCUAAUAUCCACUCAUCUGAAUGGAACGACGAUGAUGAUGCAACCAGUGAUAGUUCAGAGUCACUAGUAUCAUGCUUAGCAACACAAGCAUCUACAGCAGCUUUUCCCUUAUUCUUCAGCUUUGGACAAUUUUUCUUCCAGUGGCCUUUCUCAUGACAAAAAGCACAUUCAUCUUUCCCGAGUCUGGACUUUGACUUUGAUCUCCCCUUUUGAGUUUUCUUCCGAGUGUAUGAACGACCUCGGACUAGUAAAGCUUCUGUAUCUCUGAUUGAGUUUUUCUGUUUGUCCUUCUUUCUCUGUUCAUAACUGUAUAAGGCCGCACAGACUUCGCUCAGAGAUAUAUCACUCCUGCCAUGAAGUAGAGUAGUUUCUAGGAACUCAAACUCCUCAGGAAGUGACCCCAACAGCAUCAAAGCCAAAUCUUCAUCUUUGAAUGUCUCAUCCAUAUUCAGCAAAUCAGUGACUAACUGAUUAAAUUUGGUGAUGUGAUCAUUCAUUGUGGUACUUGGGACGUAUGUGAAGCAAAACAGUCUUUUCUUCAAGUGGAGCUUAUUUUGACUGUUUUUCUUCAAAAAUUUUUCUUCAAGUGCCACCCACAACUUAUUUGCAGAAGUCUCCUUUGAAAAAGCAUACCUCUGCUCUCGAGAAAGGCAUGAUCGAAUUGUGCCACAUGCCAACCGAUUGAUCGCCUUCCAAUCUUUCUCCUGUACAUCAUCUGGUUUCUCUUCAUCAAUGGCAAUGUCUAGACCCUGCUGAAAAAGGGCAUCUAGAACCUCACUUUGCCACAUACCAAAAUGGCCCGUGCCAUCAAAGAUCUCCACGGCCAAUCUUGCAUUUGCAAUUGUCGGUCUUGUCCACAUGGACGAUGUUGAAGCUCCUACACCGACCGUUUUCUCCAUAAUCUUUCAAUAUACCUAAGGAAAUCUUUUCUGAUGUGGAAGAUCAGUUUAAACUGCAACCACAGAGCAUACUACGAUUAACCUUCGGCUCUGAUACCACUUGUUGUUCCAAUAGGGUCGGAAGCGUGUAAAUUAUUGUACUAAAAAAUCACACAAAGUUCAAUUCCCAGGGAAGAGAGGUGGAUCACAAGGAUCUCUUAAAUACCAAGUCUUUCCUUAGUCAGAAUAUUCCUUCUAACGUAAUUUAAUAGCACAAUUAAAUACUACUAUUAUACCCUCAAAUAUUGAAAGAAAAAUAGGACAAAAAGAACACAAGAGUUUUAACGAGGUUCGGUAAAUUAUACCUACGUCCUCGGGCACUAACACCAGAUGAUAACUUUACUAUCUCCAAAAUAUUACAAACAAAUAGAAUUCCUUAAGAAUUCUCAAAUGGGAGAAGAGAGAAAACUAAGAGAGAAAGAUUGGUUGGGAUGGUUGAAAUGAGAAAUGGUUAGGCCUAUUUAUAGUUGAAGUUCAGGGACUAACUUGCAAAUGGCCUAAAAAAUUAGGGACCAAAAUUGCAAUUAUCCCUUUCAACUUUAAACAACUUGCCAACUAUUUUUUUUCUUUCGGUGCCAAUUGCACCUCCCACCAUUUUUGACUUUUCAACCCCUUUUUAAUUUAACUUAUCAACAUCGCUCUUAUAAAAUUAGCCAUAAAAAUUGUCGAACACAUUGCGAACCACCAUAGGACCAAGAAAGUUCCCAUUUAUUGUCCGAACUAUUCCAGGAAUCAUGAGAUAAGAAAGUAUAGGCUAUUUUAACAGUUAAGUCUCCAUUCAUAGACCAUUUAGAUACUAAUGAAUUCGAUCCAGCAAGUGCACGAGGGGGUAGAACACCAGCUUUUUUGUCAAAAAAAGGUUCGUCCAAAUGAUUUCUAAUAUACCUCCAAUUCCAUUCACCGUCAUUUCUAACCAAAUCUUAGAGGAUGGGAUUAUCAUCUCGAGCCAUAUUAUUCGGAUCAUGAAGUAUCAAAGGACCUACCUCAGGAAUCCAAUCAUCAACCCAAAAUUUGACUGAAUUCCCAUCUCCUAUGGACCAACAGAGGCUAUCUCGUAAGAGAGGUCAAACUUUUGCAAUGGACUUCCAUACAAAAGAGCUUAUGUUGCACGUAAUUACCAAUGGACAUACCUCCUGAAAUUUGUAUUUAUCUCUUAUCACUUGAACCCAUAAAGCAUUCUUGUUAGUACUGAAAUUAAAGCCCAACUUUAAGAGGAAAGACUCAUUUUACUGCCUUAAAUGUCAAAGACCCAGUCCUCCAUUAGCCCGAGGUUGGUAAUAGUUAUCCCAUUGCACUAAUGUUGGUUUAGAUCUUAAGGAAGAACUCCCCCAAAUAAAACUCAUUGAAAUACUAGGUAUCAAAGUUGUUUUGUAACAACCUAUUUUCAAUGGUACAAAAAAUGAUAGUUUUAAAAUUCCAUUUUCUGAGGACUAAGUCAGCAAAUAUUAUUUAAUAAUAUUUAUGAAUGGUUUAUAUUAUUAUAAUGGUUAUUAGUUCAGAAAUUUUAUUGAUUGAUUAGUAAUUAGUAUAGAGACUAAAUGUAAAAACUGUAAAAGUUGAAUUUAAGUGGAUUGUUUAAUUAGUUGAGUAUGAUUUAAUUAUUGGAGGAUUUGUUUGACAAUAAGCCAAUUUUGGACAUAAUGGCUUGCCAUGGAAUUAGUUUAGUUGAAAUUUUAUAUUGAUUUUUAGUUAAAAAACAUAAAAAUUAAAAGGUUUAAAAUAAUAAAACAUGGAAAGUGCCAUCAUCUUCCUCAUUUUUCUUAUUCUCCUACGAAAACAACAUUUUUGGAGCUAGGAGAGUUCAGCCAUUUCACAACCUUCCAUGUAGGUAUAUUUGAGCUUGGUUUUUUGUAAAUUUUAUAUUUUUGUAAUCGUUGUAACUUAAAUCUAGCUAUAUUGUACCUCCGUUUUUAAAACUGUUAAAGAUUUUAAAUGCCACCAUUAGAGAUAAUUGAAGCUUUUGGUUGUUAAAAUGGUGCUUUAAAAACUUAGGAAUGGAAAAAUGAUUAAAUUGUGAAGCUAAUUGUUAGUUUUGAGUUUAGGGACUAAAUUAUGAAUAAAUUGAAAUUGUUAUAUUUUUUUGUAAAUUGUGGUAAUAGGAGGCUGUAUAGGGACAUAUUUGAAGUGGGUUUAAAUUUUGGAGUUUAAAUUCGGAAGAUAUGAUAAGUUUGGUUUUAGGGACUAAAUUGAUUAAAAUGAAAAACUUUAGGGGAAUUUGGAUAAUAAAAUUGAGCUGAUUUAUGCUUAUAAUAGGGUGAAAUAAGAGGAUUGAAAUUGAUAAAUUGAAUUGAACAAUUGUAUAGCUAAAAAAUUAGACCAAAUCAGAAGUAAUCGUGGAAAAAAAGGCAAAAUUAUUGAUUAGUCCUUAGAGACUUGACCGUUUUCUAUUUGUCCAGAUAAGUUCAUAUGGUAGGAUUAUACUUAAUUUUCUAUAUAUUUGAAUUAUGAUUUUGAGUAUCUUGAUAGUAAAUUAAAUUGUUUGCAAUUUGGUGCAAAGAGGUGAGGUAUGAACUAAAUCGUAAGGAAUUGAACAAUUAAUUGAAAAUUGAAAUAAUUAAGGAAAUAACCUUAAAUUGGACUGAAAUAGGAUAUAUUAUGUGAUAAAGUGAUUAUUUGAGGAAAUGAGCUAAAAUGAUUCGAUUUAGAUCGGUUGAAAGUGAUAAUGACGGAAUUGAAUAUAUGUGAAAAUAUUAUAUAAUUUUAUAAAUGUGAAAUUGAAUCAGUAUUGUUAUGUGUUAUGCUAUCAUAUUUGAGAAUUGAUGAUCGGUUAAUGAAAUUAUGUAAUGAAAUUGAGAAAUUGUUAUUCUUAUUAAUUGUUUGGGUAGAGUCAGAUAUAGUUGGAGUGUCGAUGAGGCACUGGGUGCCAAACUACUUCAGUUAUACCGAUGAGGCACUGGGUGUCAAACACAUUGAUGAGCACUGGGUACAAACUAUUUACUUUGACAUUGUCUGAUAAGGCACUAGGUGUCAAAUUGGUAUGAUAGGUGGGAUUCAUAUAUCCGUUCAAGUCUGAGUUAGAUUAAUAGGGGUAUAAAAAGAAAUUUUGAUAAAUGAUAUUUAAAUUGGGUUGAUAUAAUGAUUUGAUGAUUUGUAUACAUAAUGCGAUCUAUAAAUAUCGAUGGUAUGUGAAAAAUUAUACGAAACAGUUAUAUAAACCUAGAAGGCCGAUAUAGAAAUGUAAUAAAUCAAAGAAUUCGGUUCGAAAUUCAAAAUAAGGAAAUGAAAUGGUAAUUGACAUUAGAUUGAAAUUGAAUGUAUAAUAGAUAAAUAGAUGGAAUGAUCUGAUAUUAUAAGAAUGAUGUUCAUAUGGUUAAAUGUUGAUUUGGUUUUUAGUAUGGUAUUGAAAUGUGAUUCUAAGUGAUUUGGUUUAUUUCAUAUUGAAAUGUUAUAUGAUGAGGUUAAAUGUUAACUCACCUUUUUUAUUUUUGAUUUGUCAUGUUACUAAGCAUUGUAUAUGUUUACCUCUUUUAUUUUCCCUUUCCUUGUAGAUUGUCAAUUUGUAGAACACAUCAAGCGAAUCAUCCAAAGCUCACAUUAUCCUGGUAUGUGUUCAGUAGUCUUUAGACCGCAUUAAGGCCCGAUUAUGUAAGGCAUGUACUUAGGACUCGUUUUGGUUUACUUGCAAAGUGAUAUGGCUUGAAAUCUAUGUUGAUAGAAUUAUGACAAAGAUAAUGCUUAAUGGAAAACAUAUGCAUUAGUAAAUGGAUUGAAUUGUGCAUUUGACAUUUGAAAUGGCAUUUGGGUAUGCGAUUACAUAGGUAAUAUAAUGUUAUGAAAUGGUUAAAAGGCUUGGCUGAUUAGGUUGAGUUUAUUUAAGCUAAUUUGAUAUGUUAUGAUGCCAAAUUGUGGAAAUAUUGAAUUAGUUUAUUUGAAAUGGUGAUAUAUGAUGUUUUGACAAUGGUAUGAAUUAUGUGUUUAUAAUAUGUUGUGAUGUUUUUAGUGGUUAAUGAGUAAGAGAUAACAUGAUAGGUUAUUAAAGAGUAUUGAAUGAUUUUGAUACCUUGUGUGAAAAUCAUGAUGGCAGUUACAUGAUGAUGAAUAAAUAGGUCUAGUAGGUGACUUAAUUUGAAGGAUGAGUAGUAAUGGAUUGUUAUAGUUGCAUGAUAAUUGAAUUUGCACUAGUAAAAUGGAAUAAGCCUAGAUUUUGUCUAGUUGAUUUGGUUAGUAUAUGUUUUAAUGUUAGAAUAGGGAAUGAGUUGGAUGUAAUGGACCAUGAUUGGAAUAGUGUAACAUUCAUUCACUUUUGGUUGAUGUUACGUCCAUGAUGUAGUACCCUUGAUGUUUGUGGUUAAAUUAGUAUAUUUAAUUUUAAUUUUUUAUGUUAUAUGACAGAUUUUGGAGUGCUUAUUGAUACUAGCAUAGGCAUUUUUAAAAGUGGUAUUUGACAAUUCUGUGCAAAAGUACUUAUACUCUGGUAUUAAUUAUCGAUACUUGAUCAUAUGAACAAUUUUCUUAAAACAAAUAGUUUUAUUAUUCGGUAUCAAUACCAAAUAAAGUAUCGACACCAAGCAAUUAAGUAUGGAUACUAACUCUAAUAUUUUGAAAAUUUACAAUUCAACCCUAUUCAUGCUCAAACUUUACAAUUAAACCAUUGUAUGUUCUAAUUAUGGGAAUUGGAACGCAUUCGUAUUUGUAAUUGUAUGUUUUGAAUUUUUAUACAAAUUAUUUAUCGACAGUUGCCUAUCAAUGAAUGUGACAUCACGUUAUUCGGAUUUGACAUAAUAGGGUGUUACAUGUUUGCAUAAAAUAAUUGGGGAUUGACAUAAGAAUAGAUUGUACCAAAGUAACACGACCCGCCAUCGAAAUAAGUUUAGCGUCCCAACUAUCAAGUAAUCUAUAGACCCUAUCAAGGACAAACUUAAAGGUACUAAUAGUGAUACACUGUGAAAGGCGAUAUUAGCAGGAGUAUUCUUUGAAAAGAAAAACAUUGGUCUUUUGGGCAUUAACUUUGUGAUCCGAGAAAAGUCAAAAAGUUCUAAAUUAUUUUAACAACUUUUACUUGUUCUAUAUCAGCUUCAAUAAACAGGAACAAACCAUCCGCCUCUAGGGCAUGCUUGCAAUAAAAAGAUUAGUUUCCAAACCCUCUCUCCAACCAAUUUAUGAAUAUAUUGUCCCAAUCUUUCCAUACAUAGAAUAAAUAAAUAUGGAGAUAAAUGGCACCCCUACCUAAUACCUCUCAAAGGUUGGAACUCAUCCGAUAAAACACCACUCCACAGAGUUUGCAUACAAUCUGAAGAAAUGCGUUCCAUAAUAAUUUGAGAUAUUCCAUGAGGAAUGAAACGUAGUUGGUGCUAGACCAAGAGUGUUAAAAUGCAUGACGAGAGAAUCCCGCAAUUUAAAAAUGUUUCAAGAGAUGGGUGGGCAUUGGGCUCCACCUCUUGGAUCAAACUUAAUAUAGAUGGUGGCAUGGUGCUUUAAAGACAUGGGUUGGUCUUGCUUCAGUAGGAGGUGUUGUAUGUAAUUGUAGAGGCGAAUGGAUGCUAGGAUAUUGCAUAAGCCUUGGGUAGUUUAAUGUCCUUGAUGUGGAGCUUUGAUGUCUUUUUGAUGGCUUACAGUUAAUGUGAGAAAGGGGUUCGAAAAUGUACUAGUUGAAUGUGGUAGCUUGGAAGCGAUCUCGGUUAUAUUGAGCAGUAAGUCUAAAUCUUGUGGAUCGACUCUAGUGUGACAAAUACGCAAAUUGGUGGAACAUUGGGUGGUACCACCAGAAAACUUGUGGUGCAAGAAACAAAAUAAAGUAAAAUAAGAGAUUUGAGAUGUGAAUUACUUUCUUUAAAGUUUAAUUUUACCUCUAGAAUACAAAAUUUAGGAGUAACAUAAUUUGAGUUUUUAUGUAGGCACAGGAUGAUUCCAAGAUAUAUUCUUUUUCAAGGGUAAAUUAUCCAGAUGGACAUCCAACUUUUCAAAUGCUUUCAUUUUAGUUACCUCCAUUACGACAAUCUUCCAUUUUGCGUCUGACAACACGUAAGAAAACAUAAACACAAUAUUAUUCAAAGCUCCAUUUUAUUCAUUUUUUUCAAUAUUCAUCACAUGUUUCUUUCAAAAAUAAUAAAAUAAUAAAAUAUUCGUUGACAUGUUGAUUUUUCAUACAUGUAGCUUACUGCAGCAUGUAAGAAAACAAAGAAACAAUGGAAGCCCCAACCAAUGAUCCAAGAACAGGCAAGGUAGCGGCAGCCACGCUGGAAUCCGGUCCUGAUGCUGGAGCGGAACCAGGAGAGGAGCUAGGACUAGAACCACCGGCUGAAGGGGCAGGAGAUGGUGCACCGGCAGCCAUGACGGCGCUCAUUGAGGCGGCAGCAACAAUGAUGGCGGUGGAGACCUUCUUCAUGUCCAUGGCGUAUAAAGUGAUUAUUAAACGCACCGGAAAUGAGAGGGACCCGCGUUUAAUUACCGGUGAAUGGGGAUCCGCCGAUGAUUGUUAUUAUUUGCUUUGUUAUUGCAGGUCUGAAAAACAAUGAUGGUGGGGAGGAUCUUUUAUAGGUGAAAAUUCAUGGCUAUUUUUAGUGACGAAGUUUAAAGGAAAAAUUACGUGUUUGGUUUUCACAUGGUUUGCGGGAUAGACAUGCAAAAUUUUGAAUUUUUUUUAACGAUUUUUAGGUAAGGGGAUUUUAAAAUUUAAGAUUGAAUGAUAAUUUAUUUCUAUUUAAUUUUUUUUUAAAUCGUAAAAUUUGAUUUGCACGGAUAUGAGAGAUGGAAUUAAGGUCUAUUAAUUCCAUAGAUUUUAUAUUUAUUAAUUUUGAAUGGAUUUUUUUAACUAAAAUUUAAAUGAUAGAAGUAAAGUGAGAUGAUUUAAUCAUUUAUAUGUAAAUAUUAUAUAACAAGAUGUACUAAAAAAAAUGUUAUAUACUAUCAUAAAUGUAGAGUUGUCCAUGGAUUGGACUAUUUGGCUCGGUCUAAAGGUUCGCCUAAAAAAUAGAAGAGUUUAGACAACAAUAUAGACUCGAAAAAUAGACUUAGGCAACAAAUAUACAUGCGUCCUCCUAUAUUGAUAACAAUAUCUACACUAAUUCAACUAAAACUCAAUCAGCUAAUUCCAUCGAUUUUAUAUUUAUUAAUUUUGAAUGGAUUAAUGGUAAAGUAAAGCGACGCGAUUCUAAUCACUUAUAUGUAAAUAUUAUAUAAUAAGAUGUACUAAAAAAUAUUAUAUACUGUGAUAAAUGGUCGGAUGGUAAGUUUUUAUUUUGAUGAAUAAAAGACUAUAACGGUAAAAUUAUUAGUUAAGCUCCUGUAUUAAUUAGGAGAAGGUUGCAAUUUGGAAAUUUUUUUGAAAAAAAUGAGUAAAUUGGUCUUUAUAUAUUUUGAAAUAUACAAAUUAACUCUUCUGUUAAAUUUUAUCUAUUAAAUGAUGACAUGAAACGUUAAAUCUAUAUGUUGAAAAUUAUUUUUUUAUGGGUAUAUAAAAAUAGUCACCCAACUAUAUCUUUUAUUCUAUUUUAAUUGUCCGACUAAGGAUUCAUUUUGAUUUAAGUUUACCUUCAAUCUGACAUGAUUUGGACACUCUAUUGCCCAAUCAUGCCGCAAUAGAUCACUUGGAUGUAUAAUGGGAUUCAAUUUCAUCGCACUGAGGUCUUGCUUUUUCAUUGGAGGAUUACAACUCCAUUGACUUUCUUCUUCUUUUUUUGUAUCUAGACUUGAUCAUGAGACAGGCCAUCUCAGUUCAACCCAAAAGUCCAUCCAAAAAGUGAGUGGGUUUGAACUAAAAUAUAAGCUCAAAAACUAGAAUUGGGCUAGAAAACAAAAUUUAUUUUCUAAAUAGAUCGAGCUUCGAGUAAGCUUUGUCAUAGUUUCUAUCCUUACCCUCGUUAGUGGCAGGGAAAGGGACUGAGAAGGGCUUUGCAACCGCUUUACACCCUCUCCUAAAACGGGUUGAGACUCUCCAAAAUUCAUAAAAGCAUAAGUUAAAUAUAUAAUAAAUUUAUAAUUUAACCUAAAAAUUAUUAAAAUUUUAAUUUAAUCGUUUUAAAUGCCAUAAAAUAUAAUUAAAACCUAUUUUAACACUCAUAAAAAAUUAUUUUAAUCUCGAUUUCUAUAAAAGAUUUUCCAACUUCACCCCACAUUUAUCUAAUUACAUACUAGUUAGUUCAAUAAUUCAUUGGUAUUUUCAUGUUAUUCAUUGUUUUGAAUAAAUCGAAAAGUAAAAGCAUAAACACAACAUCCUUUCCAAAGCUCCAUUUCAAUUUUUUCAUUAUUCAUCACAUGUUUCUUACAAAAAACAUAAAAAUGAAAUAAAAUAUUCGUUCACAUGUUGAUUUUUCAUACAUGUAGCAUGUAAGAAAACAAAGUAACAAUGGAAGCCCCAACCAAUGAUCCAAGAACUGGCAAGGUUGCGGCAGCCACGCUGGAAUCUGGUCCUGAUGCUGUGGCGGAACCAGGAGAGGAGCUAGGAAUAGAACCACCGGCGGAAGGGGAAGGAGCAGGUGAACCGGCAGCCAUGACGGCGCUCAUUGAGGCGGCAGCAACAAUGAUGGCGGUGGAGACCUUCUUCAUGUCCAUGGCGUAUAAAGGGAUUAUUAAACGCACCGAAAAUAAAUGAGACCUGCGUUUAAUUACUGGUGAAUGGCUAUCGCCGGUGAUUGUUAUUACUUGCUUUGUUAUUGCAGGUCUGAAGAACAACGAUGGUGGGGAGGAUCAUUUAUAGGUGAAAAUUCAUGGCUAUUUUUAGUGACGAAAUUUUUAAAAAAAUUUACGUGUUUGGUUUUUGCAUGGUUUGCGGGAUAGACAUGCAAAUUUUUGAAUUUGUUUUAGCGAUUUAGACUGGAUUUUAAGGUGGGGAUUUUUUUUGGUAAGAGAAACAAGAGUAGUAAAUUACAGAAGAAUAAUUACCUCAAUCAAUAUCAUUUUGUAAAUUAUUCAGAAGAAUAAUCGAAUCAAUUUACUAUUUAAUCAAUUCAACCAAUCAAUCUAAUGAAAUUUGAAGAAUUUGGUUUCUCAAGGUGGAUAUACACUUCGGUUCAAUUACUAUUUAAUCAAUUGGGUCCUUAUUGGCUAAAAAUGAAUUCUUUUAGAAAAAUAUAUAUUUAAAAUUUUAGAGUUAGGACUAAAUUGAUAGAUUUUGUACAUAUUGAGGGUCAAAUUUAUUAUUAUUUUUAGAAUUAUAAUUAAAAUGACAAAUUUUGUAAACAUUGAGGGCUAAAUUUGUUGAUUUUUUUAUAUUUAGUAUCAAAUCGAUAGAAUGUAUAAAUAUUAGAGAGCUAAUUUUGUUACUAGACUAAUAAAACAAGCCCACAUCAGCUCAGAGUAACUAAAUCGAAAAAAUUAAUAGUUGGGUAACCAAAUAGAACAAAAGACAUAGUUGGGUGACUAUUUUUAUAGUUUACCCAUAAAAAUCAUUUUCAGCAAAGAUUUAACGUGCCACAUCAUCAUUUUACAUAUAAAUUUAACGGCAGUCUAAUUUGCACGUUUUGAAAUAUAUAUAAGGGCUAAUUUGUUCAUUUUUCAAUAAAGGGACCGAAAUGUAAUCUACCGCUAAGUUCAGUGGCUUCCCUAGUACUUUUACGGACUAUAAAGGAAUUGAACUUGAAUAAAUGUCUUUAUUUAUGUUCAUUUAUUUAUUUUUUAAAGCUUAUUUGUGUUUAAUUUGUGUUCGUUAAGUAAAAUCAUUUUCGUGUUCAUUUAUUUAUAACUAUGUGUGUUGAUCUUUGCUCGUUUAAACUUAGUGAGGAUUAUAGAAAAGGUUGGCAAGAGAGGGGGAUGGUUGUUUAAACGGUGGUGAGGUGCUGGAAGAGAGAGGUUGAAGAAGAAAUCUAUCAAGGGAGGGGUAUUUAUAGGCAAGGAUGAUCACCCCUUGGCAUUAGGCCCUAACACGUGCCUUCACUGGUCUUGUCAUGUUUGGUCCCUUAGAAAACAUUGUAGAACUUCUAAAUAAGCAAUAAUGGGAUCAAUAUGGACAUAGUAAAGCUCUACGUGGGUCUUACUUGUGUUCCAUGAAAAAGAAUGACUCAACACCUAUCAUUGGCAAGGUAGAUUAGAGGUGAGCCACGUGUAAACCAUACAUACGUUUGCAAGGGCCAUGGCUGGUGAAGUGUUGCCUAUGAGCGAAGUUAUAGUCGAGAAGGUUGUGUGUGACACCCCACACCCAAUUUGAUCAUCAGAUCCGAAUGUGUCACAUCACAUUACAUCAUCGAAACAACUCAAACUAACUUGACAUAAAUUUGCAAAAUUAAAUUCUUAUUCAUCAUUCAGAACAAUAAGCCUAUUCAUUAUGAUCAACAAAUAACAUUUGGCAUACAUAAGAAUCAAUUCCAUCUACAUACAAGGGGUUAUAAUGAGUUAAUAUAUUAGAAUUAGGGCUUGAAUCCAAACUCAAAUGUCAUAUUUCAAGUUAUGUCUCCAGACAUGGAGAAUCUCGAGACAGGUCAUAAAUUAUUUUGGAAAUUUUAGCUUCAAAGUUAACAUGUCUCGAGUUGAGUCUCGAGGCAAGGUCAUUUAUGUCUCGAGAUUGACCUCUCAUGUUUUCCUAUUUUUGGUUCGAUGUUUGAAUGUCUUGAGGCAAGAGCUCUUGUAUCAAGACUUGGAAUAAGGAAAAAAAAUUAAUUUAGCUUCGAUGUACUUCUAUCUUGAGACAAAGACCACUUGUCCCGAAACCUAGGAGCAAUUCUCUCGAGACUAAUUAGUUAUGUAUCGAGGCAUCGGGCUCUUGAAUGAAAAAAUUAAGAGAAAUUCUUUUUAACAGUAUUGAGGCAUGUUUGCCUUAUAUCGAGACUUAAUGACCAAAUGAACAAAAUUUCCCACUUCUAACUACCCAAAACCUUAGGCAGUUGAACUCAAACUGACCUAAAGCUUACCUUAAACCAUAAUCUCAAAUUAACCCAUCUAAACACAUUUAACGAUCACUAAAUUAUAAUCUUCCAUGCAUAAACACUUAAUAAACCAAUUCAAACAAUCAAACCAACAUAAACAAGCAUAAUUAACUAAUAGUCAAAAGAUAAAAUCUAACCUCUUAAGCAUUAUGGGUCACUUACUUAAAGUGGCAAAACUAAAUUAGGCAUCAAACCAACCAACCUAAGUACAUGUCAUAUGACUUCAAAACUGUUAAAAAGAAUUUCUCUUAAUUUUUGCAUACAAAACAUGAUUGUAAUGGCUUUUUGAGUUGAGUUGGAGAGUUGGAUGCUUGACCGCGAAAUAUUUAUAGCUUUUAUCCACAACUUACGUGUUUAUCUAAUAAAAAUAACCAACCAACCAACAUAACUUGAAUUCAAUUAUAAACCUAACAAAUCUAAUAAAAAUAAGUAAUAAGAAAACCCAAGUUAACCAACCAACAUUUCACAUUUAUCUAAUUACAUACUAGUUUGUUCAAUAAUUCAUUGUUAUUUUCAUGUUAAUCAUUGUUUUGAAUAAAUGGAAAAGUAAAAGCAUAAACACAACAUACUUUCCAAAGCUCCAUUUCAAUUUUUUCAUUAUUCAUCACAUGUUUCUUACAAAUAAAAUAAAAAAUAAAAUAAAAUAUUCGUUCACAUGUUCAGUUUUGAUACAUGUAGCUUACUGCAGCAUGUAAGAAAACAAAGAAACAAUGGAAGCCCCAACCAAUGAUCCAAGAACAGGCAAAGUGGCGGCAGCGACGCUGGAAUCCGGGCCUGCUGCUGGGGCGAAAGCGGGAGAGGAGCUAGGGCUAGAACCACCUGCGGAAGGGGAAGGAGCAGGUGCAUCAGCGGCCAUGACGGCGCUCAUUGAGGCGGCAGCAACAAUGAUGGCGGUGGAGACCUUCUUCAUGUCCAUGGCGUAUAAAGGGAUUAUUAAACGCACCGGAAAUGAAUGAGACCUGCGUUUAAUAACUGGUGAAUGGGGAUCCGCCGGUGAUUGUUAUUAUUUGCUUUGUUAUUGCAGGUCUGAAGAAGAAUGGUGUUGGGGAGGAUCAUUUAUAGGUGAAAAUUCAUGGCUAUUUUUAGUGACGAAAUUUUUAAAAAAAAUUUACGUUUUUGCAUGGUUUGCGGGAUAGACAUGCAAAUUUUUGAAUUUGUUUUAGCGAUUUUGACUGGAUUUUAUGGUUAGGGGAUUUUAUCUUAUUUUAUUUUAUUUUAUUUGGUAAGAGAAACAAGAGUAGUAAAUUACAGAAGAAUAAUUACUUCAAUCAAUAUCAUUUUGUAAAUUAUUCGGAAUAGAAAUGUCAAUUUGUUGGGGGAGAAAAAACAAAUUCAUGGAGAUCCAAUUAAUAGUCAAACAUUAUUAUCAAUACAGGAGAAUGUGAGUUCGAGCGGAUUUAUUCUCCCAUUGAAAAGCUAGGAUGAGUUAUGAGUAGUUUUAAGCAUUGUUUCAACUUAAAAAGUUUCAGAUACUUUCACAGUUGAAUUAGAUUAUCAAAAAAAAAAAAUACUAAAUAAGCUCUUGUAUUUAGGGUGAAUUGCAUUUCAACCCUUUUACUAAAAUGGUGGCUAAAUUUAGCUUUAUGUAUUUCGAAACGUACAAAUUAGAUCAUACUUUAAAUUUUAUCUAUUAACUAUGUCUUUCGUUAUAUUUUAUUUUAGUCACACACUUAUCAUUUUUGUUUUGUUCAUAUCAAAUUAAUUAAUUUUUUUUAUUUCUUGAUUCAACCUAAAACUAUAUGGUUAUACAUUUUAAAAACAUUGAUUAAUAAUGACUAAGAAUUUUUCAUAAAUAAAACAUAAAUAAAAUUUCAAAAUUUUAUAUUUACAAAGAUGAAAAUCGAUCAAAACAUAGGGAAAAAAACCCAAUUUCUUGUUUAAAAAAUCUAAUAAAAAUUUUAAAUAUAUAUAUUUAGAGAAAUAUGUUUUUAUUUAAUUUUAAAUAAUUUUUUACAGCUUUUGUCUUGUUAGCUAAAUUUUGAAUUCGAAUUUCUAUUAUUGAAUAAUAGAAUCAAUGUACUAUUUAAUCAAUUCAACCAACUAAUCUAAUGAAAUUUGAAGAAAUUGUUUUCUCAAGGUGGAUAUACACUUCAGUUCAAUUACUAUUUAACCAAUUGGGUCCUUAUGGGCUAAAAAUGAAUUUCUUUUAGAAAAAUAUAUAUUUAAAUUUUUAGAGUUAGGACUAAAUUGAUAGAUUUUAUAAAUAUUGAGGGUCAAAUUUGUUUUUUUUAGAAUUAUAAUUAAAAUGACAAAUUUUGUAAACAUUGAGGGCUAAAUCUGUUGAUGUUUUUAUAUUUAGGAUCAAAUCGAUAGAAUGUAUAAAUAUUAGAGAGCUAAUUUUGUUACUAGACCAAUAAAACAAGCCCACAACAACUCAGAAUGACUAAAUCGAAAUAAUUAAUAGUUGGGUAACCAAAAUAGAACAAAAGACAUAGUUGGGUUACUAUUUUUAUAGUUACCCAUGAAAAUCAUUUUCAGCAAGGAUUUAACGUGCCACAUCAUCAUUUUACAGAUAAAUUUAACGGCGGUCUAAUUUGCAAGUUUUGAAAUAUAUAUAAGGGGUAAUUUGUUCAUUUUUCAAUAAAGGGAUCGAAAUGCAAUCUACCGCGAAGUACAAGGGCUUCUGUAGUACUUUUGCUGACUAUAAAUGAAUUAAACUUGAAUAAAUAUGUCUUUAUUUAACGUUUGCCGUAACACCCUUAACCCGUAUCCGUCGUCGGACUAGGGUUAAGAGGCAUUACCGAACAAUUCACAUCAUUAUACAAACAUUUCAUAUACAUUGAUCAUAUAUCAUCAUAUCACAUUCAUUCAUAAUCACAUUGUCCCUCAAAUAGGUCUAUGAGAUCUAAAACAUGAUUUUAAGAAGGUUCGAGACUAAAUUAAUUACACAUAAAAAUUUCUGAAACUUUAAGAAUUUUUUAAGUAACAGACAUCUCACGCCCGUGUGAACAGUCGCGUGGACGAAUAUAGGCUAUUUGCAAGGUCAAUUUGCCAACCAUAAGGGUCAACCCUACACAAGCACAUAAUAUACCAUUAUUCAUCAAUCGUGAAUAUCAAUUUUGAACACUUCCACUAAUGCAUCAAUAACUUUACUAAAGCUUACCACAUAACCACAAUCACAUUCCAAUUAUAAGGCCAUCUACAUAUCAAACCUCACAUUAUAAACAAGCCAAAUCUCAUGGCUCAAUACACUUCAAACAUAAAGGCACCAAUAGCCAAAAUCACUUAUACACUUAACAAACCAACUAGCCUAUACAUGCCACAUAACCAAAAUUUUAAACCUUUUAAGUACCGAAACCAUAGCUGGAUAGUGUGAUGGGAUCUCCGACGAUUUCCAACCCGAACAAGCCUUCGGAACACUAUAAACGUAGAAAAAUAACACAAAGUAAGCUAUAAAGCUUAGUAAGUUGAUAUGUAAAUAAUAAGAAAUCAGUUAACCUGCUUUUACCAAUCCUCACAACAUGUUCUCAAGAUAAUACAAUCAAAAUUGCACAUAGUUCCACUAUUUACUCAUGUUCACAUCAAGCUGUCUACUCGAGUCAUAAUCACUAAAUUCUUUAUAUCUUGUGCUACGGAACUCCAAAUUAAGAUCCUCUUGAUUUUCCUGAAACUAGACUCACAUAUCUUCUUACCAUAAAAUUUUUAGAAUUUUUUGGUUUAACCAAUAAGUACAGUUAAUUCUUCAAAGUUGUCCCUAUUCUGCUGUCUGACAGUUCCGACCCUUCUUCUCUAAAAAUUAAUUAUCUCUUAGUACGGGAUUCAGAUGAUAUUCCCAUUUGUUUCUCUUGAAAAUAGACUUAUUAUAAUUUUAAUCAUAUAAAUUCUAACCGAUAAUUCUUUUUAUACAAUUUUUAAUGAUUUUUCAAAUUCUAACACAUAUCAUAUUUCAUCUAUACAAUUCACAUAGAUCAUAUUUCAUUUCAUUCUCAAUCAUAUAAUCAUUUACAUAGCUAACCUUAGCUUUCACAAGUUUAAUCAAUUUAAUUCUUAUAUAACAUUCAAUUCAUACUUCCAUAUAGCCAAAUGAGCACAUUUAGGUAUACAACAUAUUUAAACACAUAUCUUUCUCAUUUCAUAUACAUGAUACGGUAUGAACUCACCAAUUCACUUUCAUUCGAUUCUCACAUAGGUUAUGUACAUACCUGUCUUGCUUAACUCAAUCAUACUUCCAUUCUCAACUUUCACUUACUUGUUGAUUUCUGUCACGAAUACUUUGCUUUCAUUGUACUAUCACUUAUAACCAUGUUUCAUCCAUUUUUCCCGUUGAACCAUUUAGAAUACUAAAGGAUACUCGGGGAUCCCGUACACAUAGUACCGUAACAAUGCCAUAUCCUAGAUAUGGUCUUACAUAUAAUCACAUAUCGAUGCCAAUAGCCCAGCCAUGGUCUUGCACGAAAUCACAUAUCGAUGCCAAUGUCCCAAACAUGGUCUUACAUGAUGUCUAAUAUCUAUGUCAUAUCCCAGAUAUGGUCUUACACAUAAUUUCGGUAACCCUAAUGUCAUGACAUUUGUAUCCUAUCUAUUCCUAAGGUUUAACCGGGACUUUUACUUUGUCGAAUCUCCAUCGAACAUUUCCAAAGCAUUGUAAUCACAAUUAAAUUCAAUAUUUAAGCAUUCACCAUAAUUAUCUCAAUUAAGCAUUUAAACAUGUAUAAUUUAAUGCUUAUUAAACAUACAAACUUACCUCAUUCGCUGAACCGAUGAAUUUAGGUCGACUAAUCCAAUACUUUGAUUUUCCCUCGAUCUAGAUAAUAUCAAAAUUAAUUUAUUUAAUUAUCUCUCUAUUCAAUUUAAUCCAAAAUUUUCUUUAAAGUACAUUUACACUUUUCCCCCAUAAUUUCACAUUUUUACAAUUUAGUCCUUGUCAAAUAAAAUCACAAUUUCAUGAAAUUAAACACAAACCCAAGCUAGCCGAAUUUUCCAUAUAUUACUAUCAGCCCAUAUUUUCAAUUUAUUUCACAUUUUAACCACUAAAUUUCCACAUUUCACAAUUUAGUCCAAAAUUGACAUUUUUCUCAAAAAAAAUCACUUUAUAAAAGAUGAAAAUCUAACAUCAAAUAUUCAUAAUCUAUCAUAAAUCAUCAAUUUACUCAAGCAUUCAACAAUGGCAACAUGUUAAAUCUUUAACAAUUUCAAUUUCAGAAGCACGGGCUAGCUACAUUACAAAGCAACGAUCACAAAAACAUAGAAAUAAUUAAAAAUGGGACAAAAAUACAUACCACACAAGCUAUGAAAUAGUUGCCGAAUGUAAAAGCUCUCAAAUGGCUUUUCUUGCCCUAAAAUUCGGUUGAAGAUGGAGAAGAAAAGAUGAUACCUUUACUUUAUUUUACUUAAUUUAUCAUUAUUAAUUAAUUUACUUUUAUAACCUUUAAAACAUUUAAAAUUUACACAAAUGCCAAGCCAUCACAUUCCACUAUCAACAUUAAUGGUCUAAUUACCAUAUAAAUACUUCCACUUUAAAGCCCUAUAGCUAUUUAAUACCUUUAGCUAUUAGAACUCAACUUUUACGCUUUAUGCGAUUUAGUUCUUUUUACCGAAUUAAACACUUAAACGAUAAAAUUUCUUUAUGAAAAUUUCACACAACUCUAAUAUCAUGCUGUAAAUAUUAAAAUAAUAAUAAAAUUUUACAACCUCGGAUAUGUGGUUCUAAAACCACUAUUCUGAUUUAGCUAAAAUCGAGCUGUUACAUUUGCGAGGGCCAUGGCAGUUGAAGUGUUGCCUAUGGGCAAAGUCAUAGUCAAGAAGGUUUUGUGUGACACCCCACACCCAAGUUGAUUGUCGGGUCUGAAUGUGUGACAUCACAUUACGUCGUCGAAACAACUUAAACUAACUUGACAUAAAUUUGCAAAAUUAAAUUCUUAUUCAUCAUUCAGAACAAUAAGCCUAUUCACUAUGAUCAACAAAUAACAUUUUACGUACAUAAGAAUCAAUUUCAUCUACAUACAAAGGGUUAUAAUGAGUUAAUAUUAGAGUUAGGACUUGAAACCAAACUCAAAUGUCAAAUUUCAAGUUGUCUCCAGACAUGGAGAAUCUCGAGAUAGGUCAUAAAUUAUUUUGGAAAUUUUAGCUUCAAAGUUAACAUGUCUCGAGUUGAGUGUCGAGGCAAAGUCCUUUAUGUCUCGAGAUUGACCUCUCAUGUUUUCCUAUUUUUGGUUCGAUGUUUGAAUGUCUUGAGACAAGAGCUCUUGUAUCAAGACUUGGAAUAAGGAAAAAAAAUUAAUUUAGCUUCGAUGUACUUCUAUCUUGAGACAAAGACCACUUGUCCCGAGACCUAAGAGCAAUUGUUUCGAGACUAAUUAGUUAUGUAUCGAGGCAUCGGGCUCUUGAAUGCAAAAAUUAAGAGAAUUUUUUAAUUCACCUUAUAUCGAGACUUAAUGACCAAAUGAACAAAAUUUCCCACCUCUAACUGCCCAAAACCUUAGACAGUUGAACUCAAAUUGACCUAAAGCUUACCUUAAACCAUAAUCUCAAAUCAACCCAUCUAAACACGUUCAACCAUCACUAAAUUAUAAUCUUCCAUGCAUAAACACUUAAUAAACCAAUUCAAACAAUCAAACCAACAUAAACAAGCAUAAUUAACUAAUAGUCAAAAGAUAAAAUCUAACCUCUUAAGCAUUAUGAGUCACUUACUUAAAGUGGCAAAACUAAAUUAGGCAUCAAACCAACCAACCUAGGUACAUGUCAUAUGACUUCAAAACUGUUAAAAAGAAUUUCUCUUAAUUUUUGCAUACAAAACAUGAUUGCAAUGGCUUUUUGAGUUGAGUUGGAAGCUUGACCGCGAAAUAUUUAUAGCUUUUAUUCACAACUUACGCAUGAAAACAAAUAAAUAUGUACGCUGAGUUAUGAUUACUCAAUGUUGCUAACAUAACUUGAAAUCAAUUAUAAACAUAACAAAUCUAAUAAAAAUAAGUAACAAGAAAACCCAAGUUAACCAACCAACAUUUCACAUUAACAUCAAGGAUGCAUAUAUACUAAUAGAUCACUCAAUUUCUCGAUAUGAUUUCCGAUGCACUCUCUAGGUAUUUGCAUCUAGUUUAACAUAUCAAACAUGAAACAUUUCAACAUUUUUAUCUCAUCUCAACUACACAUAUGUAUACAAUAAGCAAUAUUACAUUUUUUAUUUUUUUUUGAAGAUUAAAGUAACUCUAUUCGAUUAAAAUUAGAUUUUGAAGUGAUUGAUUCACACUGAUGUAUUAUGUUUUAAUUCUAUUACAUUAUAUUUUUAAUUUCAAUUUAUCUAAUAAUUUAUUAAUUUAUAUUAAAUUAAUUCCAAAUUUAUUUUCAUAAAAUAUUAAACAUAUAAAAUAGUAUUUUAAUUGAAAAAUAUUUAGUAUAAUUAAAAUUUUUUAAAUUGAAGGAAUAUUAUUUUUAAAAAUUUAAAUGGAAUAAUUGAAGUGAUGAUGUGGCAGCUGGUAGUUAACCAAAUUAUAUAUAAACGUUAAGUGAACGUUUCACACAAUUUCAAUUUAUUUUCUUUUGUCGGCCUAAUUUAUUAGCCGUUAUAUGAACGUUACCCAGCUGUACGUAGGUCCCACGCGCCACUCUCUCCGCCUAUAAAUAUUCUCCUUCCCCCUCACCGAACCCUAAAUCAAACCAAACCCCAAACAAAGCAAACAAAUUUCUGUCUCCCAAAGAAAUUUUUUUGCUCCUCUCCGCUUCAGAAAAAUGGCUCAAGUUAGCAUCUUGAAGGCUCUUUUGGUCGCUUUAUUCAUGGCAUUCUUAACCGCCGCCACGGCACAAGUUAGUGAGGCGCCUUCUCCGUCUCCAGACGCUGGUGCCGGUUUCUCCGUGGGCGUUUCCACCGCUGCUGUUGGGUUUUCUUUGGUUGUGUCCCUUCUUGCUUUGUUGAAAGCUUAAAAUUUAUGGGAUUUUUUUUUGGGUGGUCUUUUUGUACCAUUGAUUUAUUUUUGGGUUUUGUUUUUAAUUUCAUUCUUUGUUACUUCAUGGGAUUGAUUGUAAUGAAGUGGAUUCAUUGAGUAUUAUUAUUAUAUUUGAGCAUUUUUUUUCUUACAGUAUUCAUUGCCCAAAACAAUCGAUUUGGUAUUUCAGUAUUAAAUUGAAAAUAAUUCGAUUGGAUCCAAUUCUCCUGUCUUUCACUGUUAAUUCGAUUGGAUCCUUUUUAUCAUAAUUUUAACUUUGAAUUUCUUUUAUUUAUGUUUUUCGUCAGUACAGUAUGCUGAUUGUGUUGAAUUGAAAUAAUUUAAAAAACAAUCAAGUUUUUGUUGUAGGAAGUUACUUUCAGUACGACUUUUAAAAGUUAAUAAAGAAAUGCAAGGUCGGAACUGCUGUUAAAUUAGAAUUAAUUUUUUUAAUAAUUUAUAUUUAUUUUUAAGAUUUUUAAAAAAAAAAUUAGAAUUAUUGGUAAAAGAAUUUUUUUUAAAAUUAAAAUGAUAUUUUAGUUAUAGUUUAGGGACUAAAUUAAUGUUCUCUAUUAUUAUUUAACAGAAAAAAAAUUAAAGGAAGGUUAAUAUAUAAUUUCAAAAUAUUAAAGAUUUAGGGUGGGUGUAGAUGGGCGAUUGAGCGCGGUGCAGUGCGUUUAGUUUACUUUUUGUCUCACGCUACACUAUCUAAUUUCACCGCCACUGCUAUUUUUACACUAACCACAAAUAAAUGUACCGUCCAUCCAAACACACCCUUAUUUAUUUAUUUUUCAGAUAUAAGAGUUUCUCUAAUAUUUUUAUCGAACUUGUAUAAAAAACCUGACAAUAAUUUGGUAGGUAGGGGCACAUAUUUUAAAUAAUAUAUUAGUAAAAAAAGUGAGAUAUGGUAGGAAGGGGCAUGAGAAUCAAUUUCUUCGCUCUAUAACACCAAUGAUUCACUACAACCUAUCAAUUAUUCUGCCAACACAUUCCAACUCAAAUCAUACCCCAACUUUAUAUAUAUAAUAGCUGGAAACUCAAAAUAAUCAUUACCAUAACUCAAUUGAUGGUAGGAUGUGAGUUUGAGUCUCCUAUUUAAUGGUUGGAGAAGUGCUAUGAGUAUUCUAAAUUAUAAAAAAAAUAGUAGAUAUGAUCUGGACUUAAAAAAAAUUCAAUUGAACAAGUUACUAAAUUUUAAAUUUUUUGAAUCAUUUAAAUUUAAAAAUUGAGUUUUUUGAGUUGAAUCAUUACAAGUUUUGAUUACUUUAAGUUUAAAUCAUUUUCGACUAUUUAUUCAUGUUGUUAUGAGUUAAGAUCAAUUCAGAUUCAAUUUAAAUUGGUACGAAUUAUUUAUUUAUUAUAAUUAAAUUAGAUUGAAUUAUGUUUAAAUUCUAGUUUUUGAUACGCCUUGGUAUAUGUGAACGUUGAGUCCUAUUUAUAAUAACUCUCAUAUCUCUUCAUAUAAUUAUAUAAACAUAACUAUCCAAAUUGAUAAUCACAUUUUUUUAGUGACAAAAGACAUAACUCAUCACUAUGACUAAUUACAACUACUAAUAAAUAACCAAGUAACGUAACUUUUGGAUUACUUAUAAUCUUUCAAUUAUAACGAAAAUUUUCUAUACUUUCUUGAAGUUGAUAAUCUAUUCUAGCUUCGACGUUAUCUUUCAACAAAUGACAACCUGAUUUGGCAAUGUACUCCCCAUAUACAUUAGUUAGCCAUAUAAUUCUAUAAUCUCUUCUACCUUGGUAUAUAGGGAUACUUCAUUCUCAAAACCAUUUUCCCCAUUCAAAACAUACCAUUGCACCUUUCCACCUUUCUUGGCUUCAAGGAAAAUAAAUCCCCUUCAACAUAUUUACCCAACAUGCAAUGUUAAAAACAUUGAGAAUAUCUUUGAACCCAAUUCCCCCUUUUUCUUUUCUCUUUCUAAGAUUCAACCAGCUCACCCAAUGCAUCUUUUUUUCUUCCUUACCUUGACCCACAGGAAAUCUGGCAGAGCUAAAUUUAUCUCAUUACACAACUUCAUUGGUAUCUUGAAACAUUUAAUUGUGUAAACUAGUAUUGUUGUUGCUAUUGUCUUCAUUAUCAGCGGAUUUUGUUUCUAUGAUUGCACCUUCCUUAACACUUUUUUCCUUCACAUAUCCCAUUGCUACACAUUUUGCUUCAAACUUCCUGGAUCGUUGGCCUCUUGAAUAUGCAACUUUCCAACAACUGCAAGAUUAACAUAUUGUGGCACAUUUGUACUGAAAUUUAUACUUGGUUUGUUAAAGUUGAUCCUCCGCCUAGAGGCCUCACUAAAUUCAGUCAAAACGGCAGUUUAUAAUCUCACAAUUCUCCAUAUUUUCUGCCAUAAAAAAUUAAGGAACCAUCUUCAGAUAAUAGGCAAGACAAAUGUGGACAAUGUUUGCUCAUUUUAAUUCCUUUAUUUAUCAUUCUAGACAUGACAUCCACAAGAAGAAGCAAUAAGAGGAUGGAGAAUCCCCUUGCCUAAGACCUCUAGUUGGGAAAAUUGCGUUAAUUUUCUUGCCGAUGACAACUAUAAUAUAAGAAAAUAAUUUAAGAACUUCAUCAUCAACUUUAUCCAUUUUGUAUCAAAACCAAAUCUCUCUCACACACCUUCUAAAAGAUUCCACUCCACCUUAUUAUAGACAGUCUUCAAAUCCCUCAUUAUCCUAUUAUUUCUUAUGGAAAAUACUAGAGCACCCAUCAGGCCCAAUUAGAACCCUACUUCCAUGAUUUCCUAUUCUCUCACUUUCUCCAUUAGCUUCAAAUUCAUUUCUUCUGUAACCAAGGAAGGCACAAUAUCCAAAACAUGACCCCAUUGUUUAUGUCCAGUUGAAGUGAACAAAUCCCUAUAAUAAUCUUCAAAGUUUAUCUCAUUGCUACACAAUUUAUCUUUAUUGUUAUAAUAAUUAUUCUCAUCACUACUAUUGUUUUUACUUCUUUGAAGCUAAGCACAUCCAAUUGGAGCCUUAAUUGAAGCUUCAAGACGUCUUUGAUAUUGAACGCCAUCACAUGUAUGGCUUGUUGGAAUUUGUGACCCAUCAUGAACACAUAAAAAGUUCAUAAUCAACUAUUUAAGUAUAUUGGUAAAAGCCAUUUACAAGGUGCAUUGAAUAUUAGUAGAUACAUUGAUUAAAGUAAUGUGUUGUUAAUGUUCAAAGUAUAAUUUAAAUAUAUGGAUUGAAUUUUUAUAGAUACAUUGACGCUUCUCCCAUCACUUAAAGUUAUAGGUAAUGUCAUAUUUUCUUACUUAUAUCUAAAUAUAUAUAUGGAAUAUGACUAUCAACUUUCAAUAACAUAAUUUCUAUUAUAGAUGCUAAUGUAACAAUUAAGAAUAUAAAAAAACCAAAACCCACAAAACUUUCUACCAUUAUUCCAAAUAGCAUCACAAUUUACAACCUCCAAAACUAGUAUCAUCGAUCAUAUUCCAAGCUCAAAGAUCCACUAAAGAUCAAAAGAUAAAUCAUAUAUUUAAAAGUUCCAAAUAGUAGGAAAAGCUAGAUCUUCUUCAUAACCAUGAUCAUGAACUUGGAAACUAGCUUCAACUCCAUGGAAACCAUCAACACCACCAUGCAUCUCAAUCAUGGCAUCCCAAUUGAAGCUACUAUUCUCACCAAAUGGAAGCAACUCAUCAUAAUAAUCUUUCAUCGUUGAAUCCAUUGCUGUUAAAGUACUCUCAGCAUCAUCAUUGUUAUUAACAACAGCUUCUUCUUCACAUUGCUUUUUUUCAUCUUUUUUUAUCCCCAAUUGUUGAAGAAACUCAUGCAAAUCAAUCUGUGGCUUAUCUGAUGAAACCCCAACAUCUUUCUCUUUCAUUUGAACAUCAUCAGCUAUGUUUUUGCUUUGGGUAUCUGUUUUUGUUUUCAAAACCCCAUUGUUUUUAAGUUCUUGAAGCCUCUGGUGAAUAACAUGAACACUAGGCUGAGCAUUUAUGUUGAGCAAACCAGGGGAAGAAGAAGGGAACAUGGAGACGAAGUUGUUUGAUGGGAUCCAUUUGAACUUUUGUGUCGACGAUUUGUUGGAUAAGUUGGUGGUGGUAGUGGUGGGGAUUCGUUGAAGGUGAGGGAGGUUGAGGUAAGCUUCCGGGCCGUACAACCUCCUAGCGGCGUCAUCGUAAGCCAUGGCGGCUUCUUCGGAGGUGGCGAAUGAGCCUAACCAUAGCCUGGUUCGUUUCUUGGGUUCCCUUAUUUCGGCAACCCAUUUGCCCCACGUACGUUGACGGACACCACGGUACUGGCACGAUGCGUUCUGUGGACCACCUUUGCCUCGUGUUGGACCUUUCUUCCAUGGCUUCAAUGGCGAUCGUUUGUAGCUGUCCAUAGAAGGAGAUGAGUGAGUGAGUUAGUGAGCGAGUGAAGAUGUUGAACCAUGGGAGUGAAUGGCGCGGGGAUUUGUAGUGGGAAGUGUAGUUUGGUUUUAAAUGUUUUCACGUUAUGCGAAAAACAAUUCAAGCUCCUGUGACCGUUACCAGGGAGCUACAUUAUUUUUUCAACAUACCCAACUUAAAUAUCUAGCCAAAAACUUAAAUACCAAAAAUAUUUCUUAAUUGGAUAAAUCUCAAGAUCGGACUAAUUUGGGAUCGGAUUAUUUAAGGUGUUCUGUUCAAAAUUUGAAUCAUUUUGAGUUACUUGUAUGCUUGUAGAUUCUUUCGAGUUCAGGUCAUUACGAGUUUAAACUAUUGACUUUUUAUUAUUAAAUUGAGUUAGGUUGAACUAGAAUUGACCAAGUUGGAUUUUCACAUUGAUAUUAUUUUAAAUUUAAUUUAGACAAAUCUGAACGAUUAACUUUUUUAUUAUCGAAUUGAAUCGAGUUUAGAUUGAAUUUUCGAAUUUAAAGCCACAUCAAUAAAUCUAAUUUAAUUGAUUCGUAUAGAUAUAAAUGACUAAUUUAAGAUUCAAAGUAUACGUGGCCAUGGACUAAAUAAUCACUUACCCACAUUUGUUUUUCAAUAUCUUUAAUAAAGUCAAGCUCUAAUUAAUAUUAAAACUAGUUUUAUAUUUCUAUUAAAUUUAAAUUUAAAUAUAAUAUUUUAGCCCUUCAUUAGAAAUUCAGAUUGACCGGAAAUAAAAAGAUUAUCCAAAGUCCAACUAUGAUCUUAAUUUUUGAUGGAUUUAGGGUUUAGGUUUUCCUUAAAUUUAAAAAUAAUUCUUAUUAAAGUUAAAUUUUAAAGAUAAUUCUUGUAAUUAUCGGUUUGCAUUAAUUUAAUUAGUCCCCAUUUUUAUUUGCUCAAAAAAAAUUUAUUUUUAACUUUUCAAAUCAGUCCUUUUCAAUUCUUGAGAUAACCUUUUCCGUUAAUUUCAUUUAAAAAUCAAGCAAAUUUACAGGUUUAGAUCUCAACUUUUAUAGUUUUUUUAUCAAUUUAUCCCUUACUUUUCCUUAACCUUUUAUUUAUCAUGAAAUUGGACAAAUUCUAUUACGAUUUAACUAGAAAUUACAUUAAAUACUAACAUGAUAAUCUAUGUGAUGGUCUACAUAUAUUUCAGUUGAAAUAUCACUAUCUUAUAUUAUAUGUUAUGUCAAUAAAUAUUUUAUACUUCAAAUUUCACAAUAAAAUAUGAAAAGGAAAAAAAAUCAAGAUUAAAACUCAAAAAGUACAUAAAAUUGAUCCCUCUACUAUUCAAAUUUCACUUUUUAGUCCUUUCGGUAACUCUUUUUUGUUAACAUCAUUUAAAUAUGAUGUGUUUUUUUUUGUAUUUUACAUGUCAUUAUUUGACUAGUAUAUAUAUUUGUAUAUGCAUAUACAAAUAAUUUGAUUUUAAAAAGUAAAAAAGAAAAAUUAUGUGCUCGUUACAUUUUUACUACUUUUAUAAAUUUGAAGAGAUUUUAUUUUCUAUUUGUAAUUUUGGGAAAUUUUUAUAAAAUUUUUAUUUUUUUAGAUUUUUGUUUUUAUAAAUUUUAAUUAUUUGCUUAUGUGAUAUAUAAGAUAAAGUAGUGACACAUCGACUAUGAAAUAUAGGUGAAAAUAUAGGUGAAGUAUCAUGUAAGCUGUCAUGUGCAACACUUGCUGCAAUUUAUAAUGGUUCCUUCAAAUUGUAAUGGAAUUUGUUCAAUUUGAGAAAAAGAAAAGGAGUAAGGGCCAAUUUAAGAGAAAAAAAUAAUGAGUAUGGGUCAAAUUGAAAAGAUUAUAAAAGUUUAGUACUAACUUUGCAAUUAUACCUAAUUUUUAAACUAAAGAAAUCUAUUUCGAGCAAAUAAAAACACAAACGAUCAGUGGCGAAAUUAAGGGAGCUGGCAAGGCCCCAGCCCCCUAUAAUGAAAAAUUUUCUAUAUGGUCCCUCUAAAAUUUUUAAAAUUUUAAAUUAGUAAAGGUAAAAUUGUACUUUAGCCCCCCUAAAAAUAUAAAAAAUUGAUUUAAUUCUUUAAAAAUGAUAAAGAUAUAGUCUAUUAAAAUGGUAGAAUUGCAUUUUUUCUAUCGUAAAAAUUAUAAUUUAUUUUCAGCCCCUAAAAAAUUUUCUGGUUUCGUCCUUGUGAACUAUCCUUAAAUUUUAACUUAGUCCCAAACCAAGACAAUAAGCAAACAUAUACUACCUAUCUUGUCUUUCAUGGGUUAAUUAUGAUUAUACAGUCGAUUAUACCAUGUCAAACGUAAUAAAUAUUAUCAUAAUCAAUUACAAAAAACAUCAACAAAAAUAGAAAAAUGAUGUAAAAUUUUCAUGGAUGGAUGGGGGACCAGCAAUUAAUUUAUAUCAUCUCCCUAGGAUUCUUCCGAAAGGAUUGUAUUGUAGUAAAUAAGUAUGUGCUGGUGUAAAAGUAAAACAUGUGGAAUAAAUCCACCUCACAACAUUGUAGGCAAUCACGAGCCCAUUCCCCGCCCAAGCCAGCAGCACUACUACUACUACUACUACUACUACUUCACAUGUUUUGCUGCCAUUAUCGACCUGUGAUUCUCGAGGACUUCACCUUUUUCCCAUGCUACCAUCCCUCUCUCUCUAUUUCUCUCUCUUUAACGUCUCUAUAUUCCUAAUGAAUGUCACAUGUUGAAUUGGUUUUUGCUAUUAGUAUUCAUGCACUAUACUGUGUUUUUUUUUUUACUGCUAGCUCUAUGCAUGUAUGCAUUUACCAGGUCAAGAGCUUUGUAUGGGGGAUUGGAGGGGUGAAAAGAGAAAUUCGGCUUUCGGGAGGGGGGGGGGAGGGGAGAUGAAAACUUUUAAAAGUUUGGAGGGGUUGAAGGUAAAAAUUUUAUUUAAGGCUUAAAUUGAAUGUUUUAUAAUUGGGAGGGACUAAAGUUGCUAUUAGUACAUUUAAUCAAAGGAGCCCAAGACCCUGCCCCUUUCUAGGCCUUUGGGGCGAAGCCAAAAUUUGGUUUUGAGAAGGGCAAAAUAAAAUUUUUAAAAGUUUGGAGGGGCUGAAGGUAAAAUUUUUAUUUAAGUAGGGUUUAAAUUGAAUGUUUUGUAAUCGGGAGUGUACAUGUUUAUGGGUUGGAUCAUUUAUCUAAAUUUGAAGGCCCGCCUGAAAUUUAAGAAGAUUUUGACAAAAAUAUUAGAUUCGAAAAAUGGGUAUCGGCAAAAAGAUUAGGCUCGUUUCAAAUAUGAGUAAGGCUUGGGUUCGAACAUUUAAAACUUGCCCCAACUCAUUUUCAAUUUUUAUAAUGUAAUAUAUAAUAAUUUUUUUGAACAAUCUCAUUAUAAAUUUUGAUCAUAUCUACUUUUUUUUACACAAAUAAUACCUAAAACACAAAAAUUAAAUCUAUAAUAAUAUAUAAUACUAUAUUAUAAGUGGUGUUUGCUAUUAGUAUUGAUGCACUACAUUGUUUUUUUACCGCGAACUAUACGCGUGUUGCAAAGUCAAGAAUUUUACAAAGAUGUUGGCAGGGUGAAAUUAGAAAAUUGAUUUUCUGGGAGGAAAAAUGAAAAUUUUAAAGUUUGAAAGGUUGAAAGUAAAAUUUAUUUCGAAUAAAGUUUAAAUUGCAUAGUUUAUAAUUUGGGAGGGACUAAAGUUGCUAUUAGUCCAUUUAAUCGAAGGAGCACGAGCCCCUUCCCCUUUGCUACGCCCUUGGGGAUUGGGAUAAAAAUAAAUCACAUUUAAAUUUUGGGCAAGUAUUUGGUACAUUAGCAGUAUUUUUUUUAUUUCACAAGUAAUUUUAUAAAAUUAGCAUGUGUCUAAACUUUAUAAGACACUUGUCAACCGUUUAACGCUGUUUGUAGAGUUUAAAAACUCUGCAAUGUACCAACUAUUAUUCCUAAAUCUUUUAGAGGGUUAAAAUAUUUUUUUACCUUUCCUGUAUAUAGGAUUAUUAUGAGGUAAAUUCAUGGUAAAAAUUAAAAAAAUUUCAAUAAAUUGUCAUAUUGUUUUUAUGUUUAAUAUAGAAUAAGGAUACCUACAAGUCAUGGUUAGAAAUAGAAAAUAUCUAAUUAUAAUUUUUGGAGGUUUUUUAUCAAAAUUUUUAAUGCAAUUAAGUAUUAAAAUAUUAAGAAAUUUUGUAAUUAUAAUAUUUUUAUUUAUUAUAAUAUAUUUUAAUUAAUUUAAUUAAAAUUUAAAUUAUAUUAGAGCUUGAUAUAAAUGUAAGCUAAAAUAUUUUGUCAUUCGAGUUUGAUACUAAUACGAGGAAGUUGGGCCAUUAGGUAGGUGUCUUCCAUAUGUUGACCAAGUUAAAUUUGGUUGUGAGCAAUUUAUUUGGGCUUUAAUUUCUUUGGGCCUAACAAAUUCUCAAGCUUGGAAUUUUAUUUAUUUAUUUAAUUUUUUUUUGUACAUAAUUCUAGAACAUCUAAAUGUUAAUGUUUUUUUCUUUUUCUAAAUACAAUGUUUAGGAAUUAGUUACAGUUCCUUCCCAAUCUUUAAAUAAGAGGACAAUGCAUUUUAAUGCCUCAAAUCUACAUCCUUCCGCUAGGGGGGUUUUGGCCCCAUAAAAAUGAAAAUUUUGUGUUUUAUCUUUCUAAAAUUUAAAAAAUUAUAAGUUAAUACACAAAAAAAUUAAAUUUUGACCUCAAAAAUGAUAAAAUUAUGAUUUAAAUUUUUCAAAAAAUAUAAGUUAUAAGCUUAAAGAAAAUUUACAUUUCUUCUUCCAUAAAAUUUCUUUUUGUAAUAAAUUGGUAAACUUCCAUAAAUUUUAUAAAAAAACAAAACAAAAUAAAAUCCAUCUUAUAAAAGGAUUUACAAAAAAGAGGAUAUCCGAUAGUGAAAUAUAUAUAGUAAACAAACAAUUUCCUUGCCCAAUUUAGGACUAGUUGUUAAAAAUAAAAUUAAAAAAAUUAUAUUAAUAUCCAUUUAUUUUAUAAUCAAUUUUAAAUAAAAAUUUGUACUAUCAAAUAUGAUUUGGAUCAAACCAUUUAAUCAUGUAUGAAUUAAUAAAAUUCAUAAUUAAGAUUUGAUCCAUGUCGAGUCGAGUGAGUAACUUGACAUUAUAUAAUCGACUAGCUAGUUAUGAAUUAACGAAAUCUCAAUCUAAGAUUUAGUCCAUAUCGAAUUGAGUGAGUAAGUUAUACAUAUAAUUAAUAAGCAGAUUAUGAAUUAAUGAAUUAAAAAUCUAAAAUUUGAUUCAUCAAUUGCAUAACCUGAUACUAUUAUAUGUAAAAUGGGAAAAUUGGAUAUGAAUUAAGGAAAUUAGUAAAUAAGAUUUGGUCCAUAUCGAGCUGAAUUCGAUUAGACAUUUAGCAAUCUUCAUCAAACCGUGUUUCCAACCAUAUCAAAAAGAUUUGGUAGAGUUUUGGAAUAAACUUUUAAUUUUUCAUUUCGGUGGUAGUAGUUAAUUGCUGCUGUAAGAUUUCAUUGGAUUUUACUUGAGAAAAAAAUAUAGUUUGAAAACUUUUUCCCCAAAUAACCCAAAUUGUUAAAUCAAAACCCUUUCCGACUUGCUAUAUAUCGAAGCAGAUCCCUUAAUUCAUUCACAAUUCACCAUCUUCAUCAAGUUUACCAACAUACACAUCCCAUUUUAGCACCUGAAAUGGCUCGAACAAGAAAGCUGAGAAGAUGGCACCGACGACGACAAAGGCAAGAGCUCGAAAGGGGUAGCGAUUCGGGGUCGUCCACGGAUAACAAUGGGGUUCGAGUUUUGCAAAGUGGUCAUGGCUGUUGUACUCCAAAGGGACAAAGAUUCAAAAUACCAGAGAUAUUGGCUUGUCCGCCAGCUCCGAUGAAACCCAAAGUUGCACCAAAGUUAUCAUCCAAUAGGACUUUCUUUGCUUCACAAGAUAUGGAGAGUUUCUUCUUUCUUGCAUUUCAAAAAUGUCAUUAGUUCUUCCCUUAUUUAAAUCCCAAAGUCAUCAGCUUUUAGUGUGCUGGUUCAGCUUGUUAAAAUUAAAAGUGCUAAAUCUUUCACGUAAUGUUAUAUAUUUUGCUCUCCGGAGUUUAACUUACAUUAGAACAAUCUUUGAAUAUCAAGAUUUAAGCGUAUAAUAAAAUUAGCUAUUUCAUAGUUUAUUCGUAAAAUACUCAAAUUCAAAAUCUUAAGUUUCAACUCCAAUCCAAAACUUGAAACCCUAAAGUUUUUUAAUCUCUUUGAUUCAUAAUUUCAAUCCUAAACCCUAACUAUAACCCUAAACUUUGAGUAUUACUUUAUUAUUAUUGAUUAAUUUUUAUUUAAUUAAUUAAAAAUAAAAUAUUCUUUUGAAAAAAAUAAAAAUAAAAUAAAACAAUUAAGGAUAAAAUAUUAUCAUGGAGAAUUGAUUUUGUGAUAUAAAAUAUUUGACAUCAAAUAAUAAUCUUUUAAAAAUAUAUGAAAUGUAAAAUAUUAUUGGGAGGAAUUGGUUUGGUGAUAUAGGAUAUAUGAUAUUAAUUAAUAAACAUUUACAAAUAUAUGGUUAAAAAUUUGCCUUUUAUGCUCAUCUUACAUCAGAUUUUAUUAUUAGUCUUUAUACUCUGCAUAAGUUGUGGAUUUAGUCUCUAUAUUUUAAUCUGAUCAAUGUUACUCUAUAUUCUAUUCGAACUGGUCAAUUUUAGUCUCUGCGCUUUUCAAAUUUUGAAAUUUCACUUCUAAUCAAAUGGUAGCAGUCAAAUCCAUUUGGUUAAAUUUUGCCAUCAAUCUUGUACCAUGCCUAAAAUUGUGAAUUUAAUCCAUUUUCUUCAAUUAGAUCAUUCUUAGCCUCUAUAUUUUCGAAUUUAAAAUUUUUAAUCUUGAUGCAAAUGAUAGAAAUUAAUCAAUAAAUUUUUCGUGAGUAAUAAAUGUAGAAAUAGCAAGCUAAUAUGAUAUUACAUAUGUUGUAAUAUGUUUACCAUAUCAAAUUUUAGAAAUAGCAGAAUUUAACUUAAUAAAUUUAAUAGUUAUUGUUUAGUCAUGAUUGAAAUUUUAAAUUUUAAAAAGCACAAGGACUAAGAAUGACCAAAUUAAAGUGUAGGGAUUGAAUCCACAACUUACAUAUAGCAUGAGAACUAACGGAAGAACUUAACCUAAUAUAAUUUAAACUAAUUCAAAUUUUGUUAUUAGUCCAUAUACUAUGCAUAAGUUGCAAAUUUAGCCCAUGUACUCAAUUUUGAUUUUUUUUAUCUUUUUUUAUAUUUAAAAUUUCAGUCCUAACCCAAAUAGUAGCAAUUAAAUUUGUUACAUCAAAUUCUGGUAUUAGCUCGUACUUAUGUACGUUGUCGAUUUAGUCUUUGUUCUUCAAUUUGAUCAUAUUUAUACUUAUACUUUUUAAAAUUUGACAUUUUAGUCCCAACUCAAAUAAUAAUCAUUAAACCCAUUAACUAAAAUAAUAUGACCUUUCUAUGAUUAUUAUUUGGAAAUAGAAAGCUAUUGUGGAAUCACAAAUGUGAUAAUAUGUUUAUCAAAUAAUAUUUUGGAAACAGAAGAAUUUCACUUAACAAAUUUAACUGCUAUUAUUAGAUGAUGACUAAAAUAGAUAUCAAAUCUACAACUUAUACAUAAUACAGGGACUAAUGACAAAAAUCGACCUUUAAAUUAUUUUCUAUCCAAUGGGUUUUUCUCUCACAUCAUGUUCACUUUUUUUCUUUAAACAAUUUCAUUAUAGGUUUUAAUCAUAUCUAUUCUUUUUGACACAAUAGUCCCUCCCCAACCCAUAAGUAGGAGAAUAAUGUGCUUCAUCGUACUCGAACUCACAUUUUCCUCUACACUGGAAUUAAAGUAUUUAGUGAUACCAAAUAAUUUACAAUGUGUUGCAUGUUAAGGAUGGAUUGCUAUCACGUAAAUUCAAAAAAGGAAAAAAAGAAAAUAAAAAAAUGAGAGUAGUUGUUUAGCUGUUGCUUUCUUGUAGAGCAAAUUUAAAAUUAUUGAGUUUUAGUUAGGGUCAACUAUAUAAAGAAACAUAAUGGAAGAAAAGAAAGCUACUUUUGAAUGUGAGGAGCUUACAUUUUGAUUCAAUAUUCUUUACCUUUUUCGCCACUUUCCUUCAUACCCUUUUUCCUCUUUGAUUGGGACAUUCAUCAUCAUCUAACCUAAUCUUGCUGCUAGCUUUCAUGCACAUGUAAUUAAGCAACCUAGAUUCCUUUGCUUGUGUUGUUUCACAUUGUUUCGGUUAAAUUCGAUUUGGUUUAUUUAAUUGUGAAAAUUUAUUAUGAAAAGAUAAAAUCAAUCCGAUCUGGUAUCAUUCUAUAAACCAAAAAUAAAUGAGGGGCCUAGUUUUUGAACCAAGUUAUAACCAUUGGCAAGGCCCGGUCCCCUUCUAAAAUGGAAAAUUUUUCAUUUAGGCUAUUUAUAAUUUAUAAAAUUUUGAUUUAAUCCUCUAAAAAUUAUAAAUAUAUAGUCUAUUAAAAUGCAGAUAAUUUUACUAUCAUAAAAAUAUAUAAUUUAAUUCUGCCCCUAAAAAAAAUUUAUGACUUUGCCCCUGCCCUCCUAAGUUAUAUUUUUAGAUCCACCACUAACCACAGGUAUUAUCCUUAGGGACAAUGCCAAAAAAUUCAUUUCAAGGGCCAAAAUUAAGUUAUAAAUUUUGAUAAGAGUUCAAAUGCAAUUUCACCAUUGUAAACUAAUAUAUUUACCAUCUCUAAAUGACUAAAUUAAAAUUUUGUCUUUUGGGGGGCCAAAAUACAAUUUUACCAUUACUAAUUUGUAAUUUUAUACAUUUAAUGGAUAAAAAUGUAAAUUUCUAAUUUUUGGGAGGGUUAGGGCUCCUGUCUCCCCCCUCCCACGGUCCCUAAUUAUCCUUUCAUCGAGGAGGCUUCUCUUGAAUCUCACAAGCUUUGGCUCUCCCUUGCCAGAAUGUAAGAACUUUAAAGGCCAUCCCACCUUUAGAUAGAAAACAUAACCAAUAUUUUUAAUUUUAUUUUAUAUAAUAAUUUAAACUAUCCAAUAAUAUAAAUAUAAAAUAAAAUAAUAAAUCAUAUAAAAUAAUUUUAGUAUAUUUGUAUAAAUAAUUUAUUUUUUAAUAAAAAUCAAUAUGUUAAUUUUAUUUUUAAAAAAUUUAGAAUAGAGUCUACCAAAUACUUACCUAACCCUAAUUCCUUCAUUUGGGGAAAAAAAAUUCCCCCAUUCUCCAUCAUAAUUCUAUUGUUUUCUACCCUAAAAAAAUGUUCUACUGUUUUCUUAAUCUUUCUAUGUUGUUUCUAUUUUUAAGAUAUUAUAUAGCAUUGAAAUUCUUGAAACAAUGUGAUUUUUUUUUAAAGAUAAUGAAUUAUGAAAAUUUAGAUUAAUUCUUUCUUUUUAAUAAAUUUUCUUAAUGCAAAGUGUACUUUGUUUAUGUUUAUCAGUUCGGAUGUAGUUCAAGUAAAAUUGAUAGUUAUUUGAGAGGAUUUGAAUAAAAAUAUUAGAUUAAAAAAAUUAUUUGUGUAAAAAUAAUAAUAAUCAAAGUUUGUUUAAAAUGUAGUCGGAGCUUAAAUUUCAAUUUUCAAAUCAAAUCUCUAGGUUAGUCUCACACAACUCAUUUUUCAAGUUUAUAUUAUGUUAACCUUUUUUUUUUAAAAGGAAACAACAUAAAAGUAAUUACAUUAAAAUAGUCUACUAUUAAGUGAUAUCAGCUAAGUAGCCAAUAUCCGACUUGAGUAACACUUCUGUCGAAAUCAAGGCUUCAGUAUAAACUUGCAUCUCAUUGUAAUUUGAACUUGCAAUUUAGUCAUGAUCAGCAGUUUUAUUGUAGUCCCUAAAAAUGUGUCGAGAACAUACUCCCCAAUUACGACUCAAGAAAUGAUGAAUCAAUCGUAGCUCCAACAUCCAACUAUUUGCCACACCACCAGCUAAAAUAGUUUCCAAUUAAAAUAGUUUGUUUAAUUGGUAUAGACAGUGAGAAUAGAGAAGGUCAUACAUCAGUGAGUUGAAUGGUCUAGUAAUUUAAAUAAAAACUUUUAAAUAGUUUAACGACUAUCUUGUAACUUUUUAAAAAUUAAAUGAUUAAAACGUAACUUAGUAAUAAUUUAAUGGGCUUAAAUGAUAUGACCCCUUUUCGACACUUUGUUCAUUGAGAUGGAGAUAUAGAUGGGCAUUAAUGGUUUAGGUAUAUUGUGUAUGUCAGAGAAAGUGACAAGUGACAAGGGGAAUCCAAUGUAAUGAAUACUUCCAACUUCAUACAACAUUUUGUCUUCUCACGUUAAUUUAUUUCGUUUGUUUAACUCAUUCUUUUAAUAUUUUAUUGAAUAUUAUUUUGUUUUUUAUUUUAGUUAUUUUUUACAUUUAAUUUAAGAAAAGUGAUGCAUUAAUUUAUACAUUUCCUUUUCCUUUUUUUCUUAAAUGUACUUCUCUUUUUCUAUAUAUCACCUUGACUCAUGUUAAUAGAUAUUGUUUAAUAUUUUUUAUUGGUCAAUUUAUUUGAGAGGUCCCUCUAAUGUAGAUAUCUGAUCAAAUUAAUCUCUGUAUUAUUAAAAAGAAUCAAAUAAGGCCAAGUUGGAAUAGAAUUAACAUUUACUAGUUUAAAAAAUAUCAUUUAUUAUUUAGCAGAGUUAAUAUUUUUAAGUUUUUAUGGUUCUAUAAAUGAAAUCUUUUGUUUGGAAUUGAACUGUGAUUGAAAAAAUAAUUCUUAACACAUUUUUAUAUAGUAAAUGUUUAAUCUAUUAUAAUUUAGACUCAUUUGAUUUUUUUAAUAGUAUAGGGACUAGAUUGAUUCAUUUAACAACAGAGGGACUAAUUUGAUCUAAUCCCUAUGAUACAGGGAUCUCAAGUAUUGGUUGCAGAAAAAUUUUUGAAUUUGAAACUAUAAUGAAAAUAAUAAUAAUAAUAAUAAUAAUAAUAUUUAAAAGUUUUAAGUAUGGUGAAAAUUAGUUAAAAAAAAGUAUGGUGAAAAAAAUAGGGUAGAUUAUAAAAAUCGUCACCCAAUUAGGAUUAUAUUCCUGUUUUGGUCAUCCAACUUUAAGAAAUUUGAGCUGGAGGUUGAGAUUUUAAUUUAAUUAGUUGAUUUUUUUCGUUUUGUGGAAAAUUAAAAGGAGAUUUCAGAAUUUCACAAUUAAAUGCUUUGAUUUUAUUAGUAUUUAUAAGUAUCAAUUACAAUCUUCACUUAAAAUAUAUAUUUGAAAUUAAAAUCAAGUAAUAAAAAUAUGAGAGAUCAAUAAGCUACAAUUUCAUCAUUUAACAAAAUAUUUUUAAUAAUUGUUAAUAAAAUAUUACCAAAAAUCUGUUCAAAUAUAGUAAAUAUUAUAAUUCAUCGAAUAAAUUAAACCGUUUUAAUCUUAUAUUUGUUUGUUUACUAUUAAAUAUAAAUGUUAAAAAAUUAAUAUAAACUCGACCCAUGAAGGGUUCUAAUUUUUAACUUAAUACUUAUAUUUAAAUAUUUUACUGUAUUGGUGUCAUUCUUAGCCGGGCUACCCGUUCAGUUAUGAAAUUACAGAAAUGUCGAUUCUUUUAAAUUAUAAUUAAUAUUAUUUUGAUAACAAUUUUAUCUUUUUAUACUUUUAUAUCAUAUUUAAAUAAGAGAUUUAAAAAUUAUAAAUUCAAAGAUCGAACGCCUGUUCAGUAGUAUUAAAAUAUAAAUUCAUUAUCACGUCACCUAUCAUCAUUAUUCAAUAAAUUUUAAUAGGAAAUAUUUUGACAUUAUUAUUGAUUUCAUGUUAAUGUGCUUCACUAAAAUAAUUAAUAUUUUUAAAAUAUUUUCGAAGGAACAAUGUAAUAAUAAUUUGAAUGUAAAGAGUUAUUUUAAAUGCUAGGGCUCCAAAUAAGCCCAAUAUUAAUAAGAAAUACAUUAGAGCACGUGCACAAAGGCCCAAUUCACAUACGAAUAAAAAUAUCGCUUUAAUGAAAUUUAAUUGCUUAAAUACUCCUUGAGAAUUUAAUAUUUCUUGAAAUUUUUUCUAUAUAUAAAUAUAAAUAUUUUUUUAUUUUUCUAAGUUAAAUUUUUAUUAUUUUAAACAAUACGAGCAAUUCAAUCUUAUUUACAAGGAAAAGUAGAUCAAUUGGUCGAGUUGGAUUGAUUUCAGGCCGAGUUAAUCUAGUUCUAGUUAAUUCGAACUUUGAAACUUUUGGGUACUUUUGAUUCAGGCUGCUUUAGGUUUUGAUCAUUUGGAUUUGAGAGUCUGUUUUUUCAAGUCAGGUUAGUUCAAAAUUCAUUUUGGGUUCUAAUAUGGUAGGUUGGGAUCAUUUUUGGUUAGUUGUUCAUACUAAAUUGAGACUAUUUUUAGAUCUUUUGAAUUGGUAAAAUGAUAAAUUUAAUCUUUAACUUUUAUAUAUUUCGUUAAUUUUGUCUUUAUUCUUCUUUUUUUAACUAAAUUUAGCCAUUAACCAUUAAAAAAAAGUCAAAUUGUCUUUUUUAACAAAAAUACUAACUAAAAUAUUAAUGUUUUAAUGAAGUUGGCAUGACAGCCUACAUGAUAAUCGACGUGUACUUCAUAUUAACAUGACAUUAUUUGUCUUAUAUGUCACAUAAAUAAAAAUUAUAAAAAUAUUUUUUUAAAAAUUCAAAAUAAAUAUAAAAAGUUUAUAAAAUUCAGAAAAAAUUAACAUGAAGUACACAUGGAUUACCAUGCAAGCUGGCAUGUUUAAAAAUUUAACGUUUUAGUCAAUAUUUAUAUUAAAAAAGUAGCAAGUCUACUCUUUUUGAAAGGUUGAUGGUCAAAUUAGACUCUUUCUAAAAUGUUAAGGGUCAAAUUUAACUAAAAAACAAGGGCCAAAUCGAUAAAAAAAUAUAAAAACAUUAAAGCUAAAUUUGUUAUUAUGCUUUUCAUUUUUUUUAACAUAAUCUCAUUAUAGGUUCUUAUCAUAUUCGCUCUUUUCAAUACAAGGCUUAUAACUACCCAUAGCCCCUCCCCAAUCCUUAAAUACGAGGAUAAUGCGUUUCAGUGCACUCAAAUCCGCGUUCUCCUACCAAUUACCAAUGUCAAUUGAGCUAAAACUAAAUCGAUAAUUAUGUGUGAUUUGCUCAAUUAAUUAAUUUGUUUAAGCCAAAUUAAUUGUUGAAAUAAUUAUUUAAUUUAUUAGUUAUAAUGAUUGGUUUUAAUUGUAAUAAUAUUUGUUAUAUGAUCUCUUAUUCCAAAUUCCCUUCCAAAAUUAUAAAAUAAUAAUAUAAAAAAUUGCACAUAAAUUCAAAAUUCUAGAUAAUUAUCAACCAUACUUAGAAAAUAUUUUCCCAAUCAACAAUACUUAAUUACAUUGAAUAUACAAAAUAAUUUACCAAAGAAACAUACUUUCAAUAUUGUGAGAAUUCUUGACACAAUCAAAUCAUAUAUGAAUAGCUGCAACACUUCCCCAUCUUCAAACUAUAAACCCCAAGCUCCCAUCAUCUGUUAAACAAAACAUAAAAAUAAAAAUCCAACAUGUCAAAGAAAUUUAAAUUAAUAAAUACUAUAUAGUCUUAAUUAAUUAAUUAGGAGCAUUUUAUGUAGCCCUAGAUGAUCUAUUACUGUUGCACCUUCCUCGGACCGCGGUUUGAAUCAACACUUGCCCAACACCUUCGCCGAGCCCUUCAAUCAGCCCUCCGAUAAACUCGAUCACCACUUGAGAUGCGACCCUCACCGCGGUCCCAAACUUGCUCGACUUGGCCAUGCCCUUGAUACCAUUGGCUUCAAGCCCAUUCACCAUGUUCUUGGCACAAACUGCAUGGAGAUGGUAAUCGCAUGUGGUGCAAUGGUAAACCCUCCCCGACCUCUUGCGGUUACACUCGCCGCACGAGAAAUUAAAAGGGUCAGCGGUUGAUGGUGAGGGGAGGAGCCGUAACAUGUGUGGAUGAACCGAGAUGUUAAUUUCAGUUGAUAACAUGGCACAACAUGGGUGCAUUUGGAAACUACAAGCAUUGCAUUUGAAAACGCAUCCUUUAGUGGUCUUGGCACAAAUAUCGCACCUCGAUUUCAUUAGUCCACUUCUAACUGAAACAUUGAAUAGUUUUAUUAUAAAGUUAUUAACUAUAUUACUAUCAAAAUAAGAUAUAUUGAAAAAAAAUGUAAUUAAUUUAGCAUAUUUCAAUAUUCGAUUUGAUUGAGUUUAAAUAAACAACUUGACAAAAGUUCGAGUCCUCAUAUUUAAAUUAAUCAUUUUUAGUCUUUAUAUUUUUCAGUUUUUGAAAUUUCAAUUCUAAUCAAACAACAGUUACUAUUUUCAUUAAGUUUUGAGAUUUCCAAAAUCUUAUGCAACAAACAUAUGAUCACAUGCUAUAUCAACUUGUUAUUUCCAUAUAUUAUUUACAAAAGAGUUCAUUAAUAAAUUUAACGGUUGUCGUUUGUGUCAAAAUUAAAAUUUUAAAAAUUAUAUGGAAUAAGAUCGAUCAAAUUGAAUAAAUUAACUGAAUCUAUAACUUUAUGCAUAGUUUAGGACUAGUAGUAAAAGUUAACCAAAUGAAUUUAACUGUUACCAUUUGCAUCAAAAUUGAAAUUUUAAAAUUCGAAAAAUACAAAAACUAAAAUUGAUAAAUUCAAAAAAUACAAAAACUAAAAUUGAUCAAAUUAAAAUACAAUAACUAAAUAAACAAAUACAAAAAUUAAUAAUUCACCAUUCAUAAAAGUAGAUUAAAAAAAAAAAGAAGAAGGGCAUCUUUCCAUAGGCAAUGUAUUUUUAUGUAUAUUUGGAAAUCCAUUAGCCUUUACUAGUUAGCUAAACUAUUGCAUUAUUUUCUCUCAAACCUUCAUUGCAUUUAAGUGUAAAGUUUAUUAAUUUGAACUAGAAUUUAGUGGAUAUUCUGUUAAUUAAUCUAGAAAUUUUGGUGACAUUUAAGCUAUAAAGUACGAUGUUACGGUUUAUAUUUGGGGUUUAUGAUUAUUCCUUCCAAUAAUAUUCUUUAAUGUUCGAAAAUAUGCUCUUCUUUUAGAAAUGUAAUGUGCCUUACCCCUGUACCCAACACUUGUUAAUAUUAAAUAUUUACAAUAAUUAUAAACAAAAUUUCAAAAAGUUAAAUUUCAACUAGAAUUUAUCACUCCCACUACUAUAUAUAGGAUAGUUUAAAUAUUUUAGGCAAGUAAUUUCUUAAAUUAGUGGGCAGGUCUUUUAGAAUGUAAAUAAUUUUUUAAGACAUAAUAUAAAAAAUUAUAAUAAAAGUAUUAUUCUUAUUCUUGUUUUAAUGUUUUUUUAGUUGUAUUAAUCUUUUGGAGCUUUCGCUAAUAGAAUUGGUGUGACUCACUAAACUCAUUUAGGCAUUUUUUUUUUUUUUGAAUUUCAAGAGGAAGGUAAAGUCCUAAUCGACUGACGCGAUUCGAAUACAAGUCACACUUAGGACUGUGAACACCCUAAUCAUCAGACCAAUACACGAGGUUCUCAAUUAAGCACAUUGACAUAGAUAAUCGGAGAGUAAGAUAUUAAACUAACUUUUUAUGGCUGAUUAAGGUGAUUAUAUUGAUAUAUGAAAGACAUAUUAACCCAUUUUUUUUAAAUUUCUUUAAAGUAAUGUAUUAAAUGAAAAAGAAAUCUAAAAUGAUAAUAAAUAUACUAGUAAUGAAGGAAAGAAAAUUACCAGGUUUACGAUUCAAAAUGAUGUUGUGAAGAGGGUGGAUUGGAUGUCUCUUAAGACUAUCAGGAGCUAAAGCACAAAAAUCAUGGAGUUGAUAAUCACAUUCCGAACAAGUGAACCGUUCACCGGCACCGUACUCCUUGCAAGCGCCACAGGUGAAGAGGUCCGAGAGCCGCGUUUGGGAUAACGGAUGUUGCGGGUGAGCCGCAAGGUAGAUUGCAUCCCCUAUAGGCGGAACGUCGGGUGACGUUGGGAAUAAAUCUGCCCCAUGAGGUGACCUCCGGCUCCCCCUUCGGCUAACAAAGCCACCGCUUUGAUGAUGAUGACGAUGAUGGGGUUGAUCCAUGGGACUAUGGGACUGAUUUUUGAAGAGGAAUGAAUUGGUUUUGGCAUUGACCAUCAUCAUGCUUUUGCUCAUGUAGGGAAGUGAGUGGUGCAAUAUUUUGGACAAUUGAUGGGGGGAAUAUUUAUGAUGGAAAUUAAAGUAUUGAUACUAUUUUGCAUUGUUUUUUUUUUUAAUUUUUGAAAGAAAAAAAAAGGGACCCAAAAAAAGAUAAAUGAAGAAAAAUAAAGCCAAAAGGCAUUUAAUUAAAGAAUUGUUACUAAAAAGUUGAUAUAUUCUUUGUUUUGUUUCAUUUUUUUUCUGUAUUAGGGUUUAAGUUAAAUUAAUAUCUCACAAAUAUUAAAUCAUUAAUUCUCUUAUAAAAAAGAUAAGAUUCAUUUAGGGAUUCAAACUUUUAUGUUGAUCUUGUUAAGAAAAAAAUCAAGCAAAACAAUUCCCAAUUGUUUGUAUAAAUAAUAUUGUUGUUAUUGUUCCAAAAGUGGUAUAUGUUAUAGUAAAAGUUAUUUCUUUUAUAAGUUACGAGUGGUUAAUAGAAUAGUAUUAAAAGUCGUUGGUAGUGUAGAAACCGAUAUUAUAAAGAGUAUUUUUUAAGAAGAGGAGUCUUCUUCUUAAUUUUGAUAGAGGGUUGGUAUAAAAUGAUAUAGAGUCGAGCGAUUGCCCUGCCAAAUGAGUACCUUACUAAAUAGAAACAAAGGUAGAGUCAUGGACGGCUUUUGAUAAGUUGCAACUAAAUGUGAUAGGAUGGUACUAGGCAUGAUUGUACUUAGUGGUAAAUCUAGACGGAAUUGAAUAAUAAAUAUUUUAGAGAUCAAAACAUAAUUUUAUAAUGUAUUAAUUUCUGAUUUCAUCAUUUUUGAAGUGAUUAAACAUAAUUUCCUCUAUUUUGAGAGGUUAAAUAGUAAAUUUUCUAUCUAAUGGGACCAAAGCACCUACCUAACACUACCCCUAGAUUUGCCUUUGGUUGCAUGCACUCCAUCCCGGAGAGUUGGUGUUGGAGCUUUACGAUGUGAUUGAAUUUGACACAAGCAUGUUUUGGGUAAAUUUCCUUAAGAUUUGACAGUGAUUAUGUGGUUUCUGAGUUGAGCGAACUCUUACUUAGGGCUAGUUCUUCAUUGCUUUUGAGAAGUGCUUUUGAGAAGUGCUUUUGAAAAGUUUGGUUUAAAAUUUGAAUGUUUAGCAUUGCUGUCAAAAAGUACUUUUGAGAAAUAAAAUGUCAAUUUUAGACAUGUUUUUAUCAAGUAACAAAUAUGCAUUUAAAUAAUAUUUAAAUUAGUUAAUAUUAUUAUAUUUUAGUAAGAAUAUAAAAAAAUUAUUAUAACUUGUUGUUAAUAUUUUAAUAUAUGAAAUAUAAAUUUUAAAUAUUUUUAAGCAAUAAAUAUUAAUUAUUUAUAAAAAUGUAAUUAGAAUAUAUAAACUAUAUUUUAAAUAUUUAAAUAUAACCAUUAAAUAUUUUUAAUUAGUUUUUUUAAAAAAAGAAAAAGAAAAAUACAUGUUAUUGGAGGGGUAAAAAAUUAAUUAAGCACCAAAAAUGUUUUUGGGAGAAGAAAAGCUAAAAUUUUUAGCUUCUCCUCUUCAGAAGUGCUUUUGAAAAACACUUCUGAAAAGCUAAAAAUUUCAGCCAAAAGCAGCUUGUUCGUCACAGUUUUUAUUCCAAAAGUAUUUUUGGAGUCAAAAGUAUUUUUUUAAGCAAUGAAGAACUAACCCUUACACAACUCCAUUUAUUUGGAUAAUUAUCCUAACAUGUACAAGCCUUUCCAAGACGAGGUGAAUUAGAUAUAGUUGGAUUAUUUUUGUUCGAUUUUUUAAAUUAAUCACGUUUCCUACAUGAGCAUACUAUUAAUUUAUAAACCUUAGAUUAAAUUCAAAGAAUUGAAUUACUAAUUAAUGCAUUAUCUUUCUUUCUUUCUUUCUUUUAAAAAAAAGUUAGGUUAUGUCCCUAAAAAGCUAACAUGAAAUUUUCAAAGAAGAAGGGCCCCAUGCAACAAUUUUGAUUCUUGAUGAGGAGGACAACUCCAAAAUUGAAAAGACUAGACUUUUAGUUUAAGGGUCAUGGCCAACCAGAUAUUUUCUUUAAUUCUCUUUUUUUUUUCGAAUUUCAGAAUAUUUACAAAAUAUUAAAAUGACUUUUUUUAAACUUCCACUACUACAAUUACAAUAUAUUUACAAGUAUGGUAUAAAUAUAAAUGUAUAUCCGAUCAAUUAUAAUGCAGAACCAAAUCAAUACAAAACACAACAGAUGAAAGACUCAAAAGAACCAGACUAAAUUGGGAAGAAUCAAACUAACAUACAAAUAUAUGCUUGACUAACUACAAUAUAGAAUCAAACUAGUACAAACCACAACAGAUGAAGAACCAAAAUGUACUAGACCAAACCUAGAAAAAUCAGACAAAACCCACGUAUAACGUACGCACAUGAUAGAACUAAAGAUUUACAAAUCGCAAUUGCACAUAGUAAACCCGAACCUGAAUACUCAAAGACCAAAAUCAACACGUAACCAACAACGAAAACCUCAUUUAAAAUAUAAUAAAAAUUACUAUUUUAUUUUUUAUAUAAUAAAAUCCUCUUUAAACAUUCUAUCUUUACAAGUUAGACUUUUCAAACCGAGUGAAUAACCCAUCUUUCAAGUAAGAAUUCAUAAUAUAUAUAUAUUGAAAGGUCUUUAUAUUGUUUUUAUUAAUAUUAUUAUUAAAUACAACUAUUACAUAAAUAGUUUCUAUUAAAUUAAUCAUUAUAAUUAUUAAAUUAAAUAAUUUAAGUAAAUUAAAUUAAAUUUUAUUAAUUACUCUAAAAUUAUUAUUAUUAUUAUUAUUAUUAACUGUUUUUGGAUACCAUUGGCAACAAAGUCAAGGGUUUUUCUUUUCUCUUGUUUUUUAGAGUCAUUGUAGAAAUUUAAAAAAACGUGUUGGGACACUAGUGUUGUGUUGCAUGUCGUGCAAAGAUUCACUUUACGUGUCCCGUAGACGACCAUAUACAUGUGUUCAAAUAUAUUUCUAAGUCCUUAUAUUUUUUAUAAGUUUGACAUUUAUUUCCUUAUACUUUUUGUAUUUUAAAAUUCAAGUGCAUUAAUUCUUAACUUAUCUUAAAAUUCUUCAAUCAAAUUCGUAGUUAUGAACUUUUGAAAGUAAAAAAUACUUACUCAAAUAACAUUAUAAUAAACUUAAAUUUAACAUAAAAAAAACUAACAGAAUUUAAGGACUUAUAGCACAAUUUAACCCAUAUAUAUUAUGUAUAUAUAGAAGAAAAGAAUCCAAAUCCUUUUUAAGAGUUGUCAAUAUUCGAUAUGUAUAUAUAUAAAGUUAGCAAAGAAAGAAAAAAAAAAACAUGGCAGCCUAAAAAAAAAAACAUGGCAGCCUUUUUGUUAUUUUAUUUUAUUGAAUCAAAAUGGUAAUAAAUAGCUGCAGAAUCAUGGAAAAUUUAGAGAAGUCAUCAUCUCCCAUAUCUUGAAGUCUCCAUCUCUUAUUAAAUAUGUUUAUUUUAGAAUUUGGGGAAUCUUUUGUGCAGCAAAUUUAAUAGGUUGCUUUUUCUCUAUCACCUUGACUAAGUGUCACAUUUGAUUCCUCAAUUAUUUGUUUGAGAUUGCUAAGUAAUGCUCCAACUUUAUAUCUCCUAAAUUCAUCACAUUUAACUAAUUAUUGAGUUUAAUAUUAAUUGUAAGGUUCAAUGAAUUUCUUUUGAUAGAAUUUUAGGUUCAUGAUUAAUUUAAGGUCUAUGUAUGGUGAAGUUGAAGUGUUAAAAGAUGUAAUGAUCUUAGUUUAUUAAUGACAUUGAAACACUUUAAUUUAAUUUGAUAUAAUUUGUUUUUAUAUUUGUUAUAAACAUGAUGGUUUGAUUUUUGUUUUUGAAGAAUAUAAAUUUAUUAUUGAGUCAGCUGCGAUCAUCCAAAUAUUAAUGUUUCUAUUGUGGUCAUUCAACUAGACUUGUCUAUGGGUUGGGCAACCCAGCUCGACCUGAAGAUCUGCCCAAAAACUGAAAGGGUUUGGGAAAAGUAUAAAUCCAAAAAUGGGCUUGGGCAAAAAAUAGUAAGGCUCGUUUUACGGGCCAGACCUCAGGUAAGGUUUUUGGCCUAAGCUCGACCCGGCCCAAAUUUGAAAAAAGAAAAAAAAUAUGUUGUUUUGCUGUUGUUUUGUCACUGUUUUGUUGUCAUUUGACUAUUGUUAUUGUUUAAAUACUAUAUAACUCUUGUUUUAUUAUUAAUUUUACUACUAUUUUAGAGACAUUUGUUUGUUAAGUUGCACUUAUCUUAGUGUUAUUUAAGAAUAAAUACUUUUUAAAUUUAUUUUCAAUUUAUUGGGAAACAUUUAUUUUAAUAUUUUUAGCGUUUUUUAUAUAUUAUAUUUUUUAAAUAUAUAUAUAAAUUUAAUACGACUGAGCUAGGACUGGGUUUUAGCAUUUUUAUUCAAGUAGAGUUUGGGCGAAAUUUUAAGCCCAUUUUUUAGCCGAACCUGGCCAUGGACACCUUUACAACUAUAUAAAUAUCUCAAUUUCAUCACCAACCUUAUCAACAUUGAAUUUUGUUAUCACUCCUCCGUUAAAUCAUUAACAACAAGAUGAUGUGACCUUUUUUUAAUUAGCAUAAUAAGAAAUUUAUCCCUCCAUAUUUCAACAUUUUAAAUUAGGUCCUAAUCCUAAAAAAUUAGCCUUCAAUGUUUAUACAAUUUUCAAUUUAGUCCUAAUUCUAAAAUAUCAAGAAAAUAAAUAAGAAUUCAAAAAAAGGGGGGCUUAAAUGUCAAAAAAAGCACUUGUAAAAUAAUUAAAAUGUCACUUAAGCCCCUAAUCAGAAACUUUAAUCAAUUGAACCUUUGAAAUAUAGUUUUUCAUCGAAGCCCCUAAAAAGCCAUUAAGUGAUGAUGUGGUGCUUGAUGCAAAAAAAUAUAUAUUGAUGUGAAGGGCUUAAUUGAUUUUUUUAAUUAUUUUAUGUGGGCGUGAUUGCUUUUUAAAAAUUAUAUAUAUUACAGCCCGAUUUUCAGUGAUGUCGAAAACAGUAGUUUGAGGCCACCAAAUUCGGCGAGUAAGCUCAUAAAUUUUAUUAUUUAAUAUUUACGACUCAAAUAUGGUUUAAAAAAUUUUGAAUUAGUAAUUUAUGUCUUAUAAUUAAUUAUUAGAUUCGAGUGAUAAAACUCUAGUUUAAAUGGUUUUAGAAAACGAGGUAUCAGAACCUCAUUUCUAUAAACCAAGUCGUAAAUAUUUUUAUAAAUAUUUACGGAGUGUUAUUAAGAUAGUAUUAAAGUUUCGUUAAAAAAUUUUAAUGUUUCGACAGUUAAUUAAUUAAAAAGGACUAAACUGAAAAAGGUGAAAACUUACUAAUUAUAAUAAUAAAAUGACUAAAUGGUUUGAUUAAUAAAUAAAGAAGGACCUAAAUAGAAAUUAUGCCUAAAUGAAAAGAUUUGGCCGCAUAACAUGGAAAAAAUAAUAAAAUAAAGCCAUUAAUGGCAAAAUUGUAAUUAAAUUGAAAUUAAAAUAAAAUAAAAGUGAAAUUAGAAAGUUUCUAGGCAAUUAUUUAUUCUUCUCCCAAUUUUCGGUUCAAAAACAGACAUGGGAGAGCUCCUUGAGCUGGUUCUUCAAUUUUUCUUCAUGUGAGUUCAAUUCUUACUCGUUUCUUGUAAAUUUUAUAUUUUUGAGAUUGUUACAAUUAGGUCCAACUAAAUCAUACUGUAGUUUUUUAUUUUUUAAAAUAUUUUGAAUGUUACAAAUGAUGAAUACAUAUGAUUUUAGUUAUUAAAUGAUGAAUUUGAUAUGUUGGUUGAUAUUUAAAAGUAUUUUAUUAAGUAAUUUUGAUGAAUUUUUUGAUUAGGGACUAAUUUGUUGCAAUAGUAAAAAUACAAGGUUUUGUUGUGAAAUUAUUGCAAAAUUGGGCUGUAUUGAAUGCCAUGAAUAUUAUUCUAGCAUGUUUUUGCAUUAAAAAUGGUUAAUUUGCAUGAUUUGGGCUCAAGGACUAAAUUGAAUAAAAGCAAAAUUUUAGGGGCAAUUUUAUAAAAAUUUCAAAAAUGACCAAAUUGCAUAAAAUGAAUUGUUUUAUUAUUUAAAUUAAUAACUUGAAUGAAAUAUUAAUUUAGAUCAAGAUCGAGUAGAAAAUCGAGGGAAAUGGAAAAUUACCAAAAUGCCUAUGUAUAUUGGUAUUUCUCCAAUUUAGCCUGGUAAGUUCGUAUGAACUAUAUUCUGUAUAAUUUUGAUUAAAUUGAAUGUUAUUUGGUGAUGGAUAUUAUAUAUAUGUGUGUGUUCUAUUGUUGGAAUUGAAUUAUUAUUGGAAAUAUAUUAUUGAAUUUAAUACUUAGUUUGGAUUUAACGUGGGAUUGAGUACAAUCUUCUGUGGCAAAGGAUGAAUUGACGGAUAAGACAAUAACUGGGUUAUGGCACUAUGGACGUAAGACCAUGGUUGGACCAUGGCAGUGCUUAUAUGUAAGACCAUAGUUGGGCUAUGGCAUUCUGAUGAUAAGACCAUAACUGGGUUAUGGCACUAUAAACGUAAGACCAUGGUUGGACCAUGGCAGUGUUUAUAUGUAAGACCAUAGCUGAGAUAUGGAAUUUUGAUGAUAAUACCAUAACUGGGUUAUGACACUACAAAUGUAAAGGAUGAAUUGACGGAAAAUGUAAAGGAUGAAUUGACGGCAGAUUACCCAAGUAAACCGAGUUUCAGCAUUUGUUUUGAACUUUCGUGUUUACUUUCUAUUUAGCUUUCAUGAGCUAUUCAACCUUCGGGCUUUUGAAAACGAUGUACUCAUAUCACUAAGUCGUUCUUCGAAUGGUAAAAUUAUAGGAGUUGUAUUUUGGAUGAUAUAUGUCUAUGAAGAAACAGUAAGAGAAUGAUAUGUGUCUUGAUAUGUAUAUAUAUCAAUAUCUUGAUAUGUUGAUACAUGGAAAUUAUGUAAGUUGUGAUGAGUAAUAAACUCAAGUGUGAUAUGUUGAUAAAAUAAGUUUAUCAAUGUUGAAUUUAUAUGAAAUAUGUUCAAGUAUGCUAACAAGUGUUGUUGUUGAUGCUUAGACAAGUGCCAAGUUACUAGUUAAAUGGUAAUAUGUUUAUUAUACGAUGCAUUGAGAGGGUAAGUGCUCAAAUGAAAAUAUACUUGUGCUCAUGAAAGAGUGGUAAGUUUUUAGUUAUGCAAUUUCUUAUAAAAUGAGUUAUCGUGUGAUUAAUUCGAAAAAGGUCUAUGUUUAAAUGCACUAGCUUGUAUCUAUGGUUGAAUGAUAUACUUAUGACUGGUGUGUUAUGCAUAUGGAAUGAAUGUGGAAAGUAAAGAAAUGCAAAUGAAAAUAAAGAAAUUUUGGAAGAGUUAAAAUUGCUUAAAAUCCUACUAUGCUAGGAAUAUUAUGUAUAAAUGAUAUUGUAGAUUUAUUCACUUAGUGAGUUGUUAAAUAUAACUUCAUGAGUAUUGUGGUAGCAACAUUAGACUAUUAUUGAUAAGUAUAAAUUUUAUAUUUGAAAAGGAAGUAUUAUGAUUAAAGUUUAUACGAGCUUACUAAGCAUUCAUUGCUUAUGUGUUUGCUUUCUUCUACUUUUCAGAUUAUCGGAAGCUCGAUUGGGUUGGAAGCUUGUUGGAGAUAUAUCACACUAUCCAUUGGUUCUAUCGGUAUUUUCGAAUGUUUUGAUUUUAGUUAUAAUGGCAUGUAUAGGUAUUUUUUUUAGUGAUGGCUUAUAUGUAGUGUGUUGAGUUUAGCAACUUAUUUUGACUUAUUUUGAAUGUCUAAUUAUGACUUGUUGAUAUAUGUAAUGUUGAUUGUAGAUAGACACAAAAUUAGGUGAGAAAUAUGGUUUGUAAAAUGGUCUAUUUUCAUUCACACGGGCAGAGACACGGGCAUGUAUCCCCUACUUCUAAGAAAAUUUUUGAAAUUUUGGAAAAAAUUCUCUGAAUACCCAGUUUAGUCCCGAUUCACUUCUAAGAUGAAUAUUGGGCUUCGAAGGUCCAUUUAAGAGACAAUAUGAGUGUUAUAUAAUUGAUUCUUAAUACGUGUAACAAAAGUUGGGAAAUGUCCGUAUUUAAUUCGUAAGUUCGGUAAUGCUCCGUAACCCUGUUCCGAUAACGGAUGAGGGUUAGGGGUGUUACAAUAUAAAUAUAAAAUAGAAAAAUUUCUAAAAUUUUUAAUACUAUUUAAUAAUUUUAUAUUUUUUAUAAUUUUAUGUUUCCAUAAUAAUUUAAUAGUUUUCAAUAUUUUAAAAAUAAUAAUAAUAAGUAUUACUUUUUUUAUCACGUCGCACCACAUCAUACCUCAAUCCAUCCUUAUCAACUUUUCUCACGGCCAUUUAUUCUCAAUCAAAAUCAUUACUCAUCACUUACUUCAAGAUACCAAACACUAAACUCAUUGUCAAUUAAACUCCUCUCGUGGCAUCCCAUACAAAUUCAAUCACCUCCGUAUUUCAAACUUCUUGUUUUCUUAUUAUCAAAACCAAAAACUACAAGACUUAAAAAUAAAUACAAGCCUUAAAAAUAAAAAUUUUUCUUAUAAUUUUAAUUAUUUUAUUUUAUUUUUUAAUUUGUAGACACACAAUUUGGUGGGGGUGAAAAUUAUAUUAAGGUGGGCCACGAGACCCAUGGAUUUAACCUUAGUUGAGUGUAUGUUUUAAGCCAAUUUUGCCUACAGUCCACAUUGGGGGACUUUUAACGUGGGCUAGACCCAUUCUUGCUUGAGCUUACUUUAAUUUUAAUAAUAUAUAAUUAGAAAUUCCAUUUAAAAAUAUAAAUAUAUGUUUAAAAUUAUUAUAAAUAAAGUGUGCAUAAUAUAAAUAUAUAAUUUGACGUAUGUUUGAACACCACAGUAUGCAUAUUUUUAUUGAUUUUUUAAAUAAAAUGAUUAAAGUGUAUUCCAUUAUAGAACCUAUUUUAAUUAUGGAAAGGUAUUUCUUAAUUUUUCUAACCAAGUUAGUGACUUGAUUGACGAUGACACCAAUUUAAUAAAACGUUUAAUAAAUAAUAUAAAUAUACAAUCGAUCAAGAUAAUAAAUUGUGCAUAUUAAAAUAAAAUGCAUAAAAUACAUCAAAUUAUUUAUAAAUAUAUAAUCUAAACCCAUUUAAGGUUUGUCCAUUUUAUUUUCUAAAAAAUAUAUUUAUAUAAUUUAAUAUUUAAUAAUUUUAUAUAUUUUUAUUAAAAUAUUAUAUAGAAUCAUCUUUAAUAUUUUAUAUACUACUAUAGAUUUAAUUUUCAUAUGUUAUAAAUUACAAAAUUUAUAAAAAUAACAUAAUCUAAAACAUUACAAAUUUAAAAAAAAAAGAUUUGACUGAGUCUUGAAUGUUUAAGCCCGAGCUUGUCCCAAUUUUAAACGGGCCCACUUUUUUGCUCAAAUCUAUUUUCCGAGCAUAACAUUUUUGUCUAAACCCUUUCAAAAUUUGAAUAAACCUUCAGGUAUAGGCUGUAACCCAACACAUGAACAAGUCUAGGGCUAGAGCCCUUGCGCAGAGGCAAAUUUAGGGGGCUGGUAGGGGCCCUGGCCCCCUAAAUUGUAAAAUUGCUAUUUAGGCCCUCAAUUUUUUUAAAAAUUUUAAAUUAAUAAAUGUAAAAUUAUACUUCGGCCCCUUAAAAAUUAUAAAAAUUCGAUUCAAUCCUUUAAAAAUUAUAAAGAUAUAGACUAUAAAAAAUUAAAAUUUCAUUUGACUCCCUUAAAAAUUUAUUCUGGCUUCGCCCCUGCCCUUUCCCCUUAAAAAUUUGUUCUGGCAUCGCCCCUACCCUUUCUAGUGUUGCCCAUAGGUCGUAGACCACAGAAUCCAUUCAAAUAGAAUUAUCACAUGAUUCUCCAUGCAUUUGAACUUAACUAAAUAAUAAUCAUUUUAUUGAAAGUUAGAGGCAUAACUCGAGGGAAGUAGUGACCUUAACCCCCUUAAACUAUGGGGUAUACCAUUCAUUUUAAUGCCUUUUUUAUUAUGAAGUAUUCAAUUUAAGCCAUUCUUAAACGAAUUUUUUAGCUUUGGCCUUCUAAUCAUUUAAACUUCUAUUUUAACCCCGAUAAUGAAUUGAUGAUUUCAUCCUUGCCUAUGCCUUAUAUUUAUGGGAGCAAUAACAUGUUACAAUUUGAUUAGGAUUACGAGGCACUCACCCCCUACAAAAUUUGAGUAAAUCUCUCGAUUAAAAUAAAAAGAUAAAACCCCAACUAAAAAUAAUAUCGAAACUUUUUCAAAGUGGGACCUUCAAUAAAUCCAAACAAGGGAGAUAAUUAUUAAAAUAGAAUUGAAAUUUGAAACCCGACCCAAGUUCCAUCAAUCUUUUCGGGUCGGCAAAUUCAAUUAUUGAUCUUAGGUGAUAAAACCAUUUCCAAAGUUAUGGUAUGUGAAUGGGCCGAAGGCGAUAGGUGUCCCCACAAAUAAUUCACGCAUAUGACUUUGAUUAACCUAGAACUUCUCCAUGGGCUCAACCAUUUAUUUCCCUUAGUUAGCCCCUAAAAUUUACUGAUUUUAUCAUUUUGGUCCUUUUAACUUUUAAAUUUUAAUUAAACUUUUCUUUUUGGACAAAAAUUUGAAUAGCAUUGAAGUAGCAACCCGUGUGGCAAUGUACUUUAUUGCUAACAUAAUUCUUUUUUAUGAUUUUUUUUUAAUUUUUACGAAGUACAUGUGGAUUGUAACACAAGUUGCAGCAUCAAUACUGUUAAAAUUUUAAUUGUCCAAUCAUUUUUUAUAUAUAAAAUAACAAUCUAACUAAAAUUUAGAGUUUUUGGGCCAAAGUGAUUUAAAAGAAGAGCGAGCCCCGAAAUGGCAAAAAAAAGAUAAAUACUAAAAGGUUAAAUUUAUCUUAUUUUAAUUUUGAGCAGAUUUAAUUUGAUUCAAGUUUAAAUUAAAUAAUAUAUAUUAAAUUUAAUCAUAAAAUAUAUAGGCAUACUGACUCAGGGUGUGUUUGAUAAACCGAAAAAUUAAGUACUGAAUUUUUAUUGAUAAAUUCUAUAAGUGUUUAAUUUAUAUUAAAAAUUAUUUUGUAAAAUAAUAAAUAUAAGCAUUGAAUUUAAUUAUGUUAUUUGAUAAAAGUAAAUAUUGAUUUUUAAAAUAUUAAUGAUUUUUUAAUUUUAAUCUUAUUAACAUAAUAUUUUAUAUUAUUUUGGAUAGUUUUGUAUGAAAGAUAAAUAUAGUAUUUUGAAUAUUAAUUUUUUAAAAUAUUAAUUUUUUUAAUAAGAUAAAAUCAAUUUAAUAUUUUAAAAUUUUUGUUGAAUUUUUUAUAUUACUUAAAGAAUUAAAAUGAUUAUCAAGCACAUUUAAAAUAUUAAAUGUCAAAAUUUUUCAUUUUCAAUGAAAAGAAAAUUUUCAAUGACUUAUCAAAUACACCCUUAGUUGCCCUCCAACUUUACAAAUUAAAAAUAAAAAAUUUAUUUUAGCCUUCUAUUUAAUUUUUGCCUCUUUUAAUCAUUGAACUUGCAUUAUUUGUCAAAUCAUCUCAAAAUUGAUGGAAAAUUUAACAUAUGUUAACUUUGCUAACGUUACAUAUACAUGGAUGCCACUUCAGCAAUUAAUUAAUUUUUUAAAAUUUAAAAAAAUAUAUAAAAGUAUAUUUUUUAAAAAAAAUUAGAACACAGAAAUAUCUAAAAUGACCCAAAAGCAACAAGGGCUUUGAUUUAGGCUUUGGGUUCGCAUUUCAGCGAUUUAAUAAUAUUGCCCCCAAUAAUUCAAAAUUUUUAUUUAAGUUAUACAAUCAAGUAUACCUAGUAGCACGAGUUAGGUUUUCUAUGUCUUAGGUUUUCUAUGUCUACCUUGUUGCACGAGUUUCACUUUUGGGGUUUUUUAUUUGCUAGGGUUUUGUCAUUUGUGGGUGCGUCAUGGAAAGUCUAAAUACGGUGGAUGAAGAUUUGGCCAAUCUUAACAUUAUGAUGAAGAGGAAGAUCCCAUGGUGGUGGUAGGGGACGAUAUCGCUGUUGAUCCAGGAUAUGGGUUAUGUUUGGUAGGGCAAGUUCUCACGGAUAUUAUUGUGAAUUUUCCAACUUUAAAAAAUAAUCUGGCUAAUUUGUGGCAUCCGCUGAGAGAGGUGUCUAUCACGAAGAUUGAAGACAAGCGUAUUGUGUUCCGUUUUUAUAGCGAGAUUGAUUUGAAGCGAGUUAUGGAUGGUAUGCCAUGGUUUUUCAACUGACAGCUUAUUAUGUUCCAUAGACUGAUAAGGGGUGAGGAACCAAUUACAGUUCCUCUCUGGACUUCAGUUUUUUGGGUGCAGGUCCAUAAUUUACUGAUUCAAUUUAUAACGAAGGGGAUGGCAUGAUAGUUUGGGGACUUUAUUGGGAAAUUCUUGGAGUGUGAUGUGUUGUUGGUGACGAUGGGGUAAGCAAGUUUAUGCGGAUUAGAGUUGUAAUUGAUAUUCGACUCCUACUUAAAAGGAAGAAAUGAAUCGGCAUUGGGCAGAAUAAAUCCAUAUAUGCAUUGUUUCAAUAUGAAAAAUUAUCGCUGUUUUUUUUUUUAUGUGGCCGUCUCGGUCAUGGAGAGAGUUUCUGUCUGGUUCGAUUAACAUUAGGGAAUUAGCAAGUGGAUUUUGGCUGGGAUGUAUCGUUGAAGGCUGCGCCAAGGAGGGAAUGGCAGUUGGUGAGUAAAUGGUUGAGGGAGGAAUCAGAAAAUGAUAGGUGGGCAAGUAUGAAAAUCGAUGGGAAGAGUAAGGGAAGGAGAUUUGGUACGAAUAUAACUAAAAGAAGUGAACAUAGAGGAGGAAUGGGUUCGGUGGGGUGCUUUGUUCGACAUAUAAGGAUGCACAUAGAUAUAAGGGCUGAAAAUAGGAUGGGGCAACUUGAGGAAAGGGGAGAUGGAUCAGUGUUGGAAGAUAUGCUUGUGGAAUUUGUUGACGGGAAGAAGAGGCAGAGAUUUAAUUCAUAAGUGGAUGGUUCAGAUGACAAUAGGAGGUUAUUGAAGUUGAAAAUAGAAAAUGAAAUAUCGACGGUCACUAACAAGCUGGCCGACCCGGUGCAAUGAAAAGUUUCAGUUGGAAUAAUCGUGGCUUGGGGCAACUAUUGACAAUCAGACGUCUCAGAAACAAGUUGAGACACUUUUGGCCUCAAAUUUUGUUUCUUAUAGAAACGAAGGUUACUAGUAAACGGAUGAAGACAAUUAGACAGUAGUGUGGAUUUGAGCACGAAAUUGAUGUCGACACGGAGUGGGAUGAAGGAAAUGAUAUGGUAGUAUAGAGAUUCAUGGGCUUUUAUGGAAUGCCUGAGGAGCAUGUUAGAAACUAGUCAUGGGAUUUAUUAAGGUAUCUGAAGCAUGGGAACAAUAAGCCAUGGUUGAUUCUGAGAGAUUUUAAUGAAAUCAUGUUUUCUUUUUAAAAAAAUAAGGGGGUAGAAUUCUUGAGGAAAGACAAACGGUUAAUUUUAGGGAAGUACUAAAAGAUUGUGAGAUGAAUGAUUUAGGCUUUUCUGGGCAAUGGUACACAUGAGAGAGAGGUAGGUUGGUCAAAAAUAAUAUUAAGGAAAGACUGGACAGAGGGGUAGCUAAUCCAAACAGGUGGGAUCUUUUUUCAAGGUAUUCGAUGAGCCACUGACAAUAUAGUUUUUCAGAUCAUUGUCCGGUGGUUGUGGAUACAAAUAAGGAUGGGAGCUUGAGAUUUGGGGAGCAACAAUGGUAUGUUCGUUUUAAUGCCGAUUGGAUAUUGGAUACAGGUUUUGAUGAGCGAGUUAAACAUCGGUGGAAUUCGAAUGAACAAGAUAUUUUGGUGAAGUUGAAGGAGUUGGGGUGAGUUUGAGCAAUUGGGCAAAAAAAGAGAAAGGAUUAGGGGAACGUCGAACAACAGAAUUAAAUUCUAGACUGCUUGAAUUGAGUGCUGAUGAGAUUAGUAAUACGAUUUUGGAGGAGAUUACAGAGGUCAAAUUGGAGUUGAAUUUCAAAGCUGAUAAAGAGGAACUAUUUUGGAAACAAAGAGUGAGAAUCAAUUGGCUUCGAAUGAGGGAUAAAAAUAUGAUAUUUUUCAUAAGAGUGCUUCUUAUCGUAAGAAAAAAGAGUAUGAUUAAGGGGCUAGAGAGUGUUUCUGGGAAUUGGGUUAAUGGUUUUAACGAGAUAUCUAAAAUUACUACAGGUUAUUUUAAAGAUUUGUUUUCGUCAAAAGAGGUCGGCAAUCGUGAUAGAUUACUCUCGACAAUUUCACCAUGUAUUACGAAAGAUCUUAAUGAGAAAUUAAUGGUGGAAUUUAAAGUAAAAGAGGUUGUUGAGGCAACAAAAACCAUAGCUUCUCUUAAGGCAUCAGGCAAUGAUGGCUUUCCUGCAAUAUUCUUUCAAAGGUAUUGGCAUGUAGUAGGGGAUGAAGUUACUAGGUAUUGUUUGGAUGCGCUAAAUGGUCGAAGGAACAUAGAGGAUGUGAACCAUACAAAUAUUGUUUUUAUCCCUAAGGUGAAUUUGUCGAAGUCUAUGAGUUAAUUUCGACUUAUUAGCCUUUUGUAAUGUGAUUUAUAAAAUUAUCUCAAAAGUGUUAGUCAACAGGUUUUGUUAGGUGCUUAACUAUUGUAUAGAUGAUACCCAAGGGGCGUUCGUACCAGGAAGGCAAAUCAUAGACAAUAUUUUUUUGGCAUAUGAAAUUUUGCACUCAUUCAAGAGAAAAAGAGGGACUUCGAAUAGAGGCUUUGCUUUAAAACUCGAUAUGAGCAAAACAUAUGACAGGGUCGAGUAGUAUUUUUUAGAGAAAAUGAUGCAAAGAAUGGGUUAUUUUCAGGAGUGGAUUUCACUUAUAAUGAGGUGUAUCACUAGUGUUUUGUAUACUGUGGUGAUUAAUAGAACACAUAGGGAAGAGUUUCGGCCUACAAGAGAUUUAAGGCAUGGAGAUCCCCUAAGCCCGUAUUUGUUUCUCAUUUAUGGUAAGGAUUCUUAUGAUUACUUGACAUGGCCAGGAAUGAGGGGAGGCUCUUUGGGACAAAGGUGGGAAGAAAUGGUAUUUCGGUGACACAUUUAUUUUUUUGCUAAUGAUAGUGUGUUGUUUGGAGAGGCAUCGACUGACGGUGCAAACAUUAUGAAAAGCGUGAUCAAUGAGUCUGAAACGGUGUCGCGAUAAUUGGUCAACUUCGACAAGUCCCUAAUCUAUUUCAGUGGUAAUGUUGAAUAAGAAAUACAAGAACAUGUGGGGAGAAUUUUGGGAGUGCGGAUUUCUAAUAAUCUAGAGAGGUAUUUGGAAUUGCCAACUAUAGUUGGACAUAGGAAAAAGCAUGCUUUUGUUGGAAUUAAAGAACACUUUGUUAAGCUGAUGAAUAACUAGAGUGUGCGCUAUUUAUCGACUGAGGGUAAUGAGGUAUUUUUAAAUUCCAUUUUACAAGCUAUAUCGAUCUACGCGAUGCAAUGUUUUAAGCUACUAGUUUGUUUUUAUCGUGAACUUGACAACAUAAUGUGCAAGUUUUGGUAACGUAGCUCCAAAACCAACAAAGGCAUUCAUUGGUGCAAGUGGAGUGAUAUGUGUAUCCCCAAAACGAAGGGAGGGUUGGGUUUUAAAGAGCUAUUAACGUUUAAUAUGGCCCUGUUGACGAAGCAGGGGUAGAAAAUUAUUACACAGCCUAAUAGUUUAUUUGCACGCGUCAUGAAAGCAAAAUACUUCCCAAUGGGGGACUUUAUGAGUCUAGGAUUAGGUUCUUACCCUUCGUAUACCUGGCGAAGUAUUUGGGAAGCUAGAGGACUCAUUGAGGAGGGGGUUGGAUAGAGAAUCAGAGACGGCAAUGCAGUAAAUAUUUGGACUGAUGCAUGGUUGCUGGGGCCUGAAAAUGGUAGGGUACAAUGUCAGCAUAUUGAUAUCCGGUAUUCUGAGGUGUCAGAUUUAAUUGAAAGGGAAUCUAUUACUUGGAAGCAAGAUAUUAUUUG
rnacentral:lncRNA from 1 species